rnacentral:lncRNA from 1 species
GAACACUUGUACUCCAAGGUGAGCCAAACGGUGGUGGUGGACACGAGCAGCGACAUUCCGUGGGUGCAGUGCCUCCCGUGCCCCGCCCCGCAGUGUCACCUCCAGAAGGACCAACUCUACGACCCCGCCAACUCCAGCACGUACGCACCUAUCCCCUGCGGCUCCCCUGCCUGCACGGAGCUCGGUAGCAGCCACAGCAGUGGCUGCUCCGCCGGCUCCGACCAAUGCAAGUACAUCCUCGACUACGGCGACGGCAGGGCCACCGCCGGGACAUACGUCACCGACACGCUGACCUUGUCGCCCACCAUCGCGGUCAAGGGCUUCCGGUUCGGGUGCAGCCACGCCGUGAGGGGCACCUUCAGUGACCAGACCGCCGGCGUCCUGGCCCUCGGCGGUGGCGCUGGGUCCCUCCUUGCGCAGACCGCGGAGACCUUCGGCAACGCCUUCUCCUACUGCGUCCCGCACCCGAGCUCCGAUGGAUUCCUCUCGCUGGGCGGGCCGGUGGGGAACUCGUCGCAGUUCACGAGCACGCCUCUGAUCAAGAACCAACACGCUCCGACGUUCUACAUCGUCCGCCUGGAGGCAAUCACCGUGGCCGGGAGGCGGCUCGACGUGCCGCCGGCUACGUUCGCCGGUGGUGCGGUGAUGGACUCAGGGGCGGUCGUCACGCAGCUGCCACCGUCGGCAUACGCAGCGCUGCGGGCAGCGUUCAGGAGCGCCAUGACGGCGUAUGGCCCGCUUGCGGAUCCCGUACGCAACCUUGACACGUGCUAUGACUUGACCCGCUUCCCCGAGGUCAAUGUCCCCAAGGUGUCCCUAGUGUUCGCAGGCGGUGCCACCUUGGAGCUCGAGCCGGCGUCCAUCAUGCUGGACGGCUGCCUGGCUUUCACGGCCUCCCCUGGCGGCCACGGCUCCAUCGGAUUCAUCGGCAACGUGCAGCAGCAGACCUACGAGGUUUUGUACGACGUCGGCAGCGGGAGCGUGGGAUUCCGCAGUGGCGCGUGCUGAUGUGGCAAGCUGCAGGCCAACCACGGCCACUUGUACGUGUGAUGCAUGAUUGGCCCCCUAAUAUAUAUCUGGGUCUACAAGCUAGCUUGCUCAUUGGGAUGGAGCUAGUUUGUGAGUAUAAAUAAAUGCAAGAAAGAAGAUUGAUGUAAUACUUAUAUAUGCAUGUAAUUUUAUAUAGUUUUAUAUAUGCAUGUAAUUUUGUUCAACGGUUGUAUGAUUGUAAACCUUAUAAUAUAACCUUACAGAUUGUCAAGGAAUUCAACCGAUAUAAUUACUCUACUUAUUGAUGUGCAAUAAUGUAAUAUGACUAUUAAGAAGCAUUCUGAUUGUGGAGGUGGUUUCGCACUUUUUACUACAACAAAGGUGUUUGAAGGAUUCCUCGGCAGAAACUAGAACGCACUCCUUCAAUAAUUGACGAGCUAAUUGGUUGUUGAACUUCAGACAAAGAUUGUUGGGCAUGAAAGCGGUCACCAGCGGGUUGAUUGGCCUCACCAGCUCAUACGUGUUCAUGAGGCGUGGUUUUUUUCUUUUCUUGAUUAAUAGUAUUUGUUUCUGGAUGCUUGCAUUGUUAGAUUUGGAAGCGUUCCUACUCCUCGAUGAGGAGCCGGGUUGGUUUAUAUUGAACGAGGCAGAACAGCCCUGCCGUGGCUUACAAGAAGAGGAAACUGAUCGCAAGGAUUGGGUUGUAAGGAGGACUCCUAAACAGCUACGCGAGGGAGAGAGAUAGAAUAGAGUUGAGAUUACAAUGCGGAGAUAAACAUGAAUUCUAACACCCUCCCUUAAUCUCAACUAUUCUAUGUUUAGAUUCCUCUUGAACUCAUCAAAUGGUUUUGCUGGUAGUGCCUUGGUGAACCCAUCAGCCACUUGAUCUUUGGAAGGGAUGAACCGUAUCUCAAGUUUCUUUGCUGCAACCCUUUCAGGCACAAAGUGAAAAUCAAUCUCUAUAUGCUUGGUUCUUGCAUGAAACACUGGGUUUGCAGACAAGUAUGUUGGUCCCAAAUUAUCACACCAUAAACAUGAGAUGCGAUUCUGCUUGACCCCCAUUUCAUCCAGUAGUGAUUCAAUCCAAAUGAUUUCUGCAGUGGCAUUAGCUAAGGAUUUAUACUCAGCCUCUGUAUUUGAACUUGAUACAGUGGCUUGUUUCCUACCACUUUAAGAAACAAGAUUAGGCCCAAAGAACACUGCAAAGCCUCCGGUUGAUUUUCUAUCAUCACUGCAACCUGCCCAAUCAGCAUCAGAGAAUGCACUCACAAGAGUAGAAUUAGAGCGUCUAAAAUGCAGUCCUACUCCCAUAGUAUGUUUGACAUAUCUUACAGUUCUCUUAAUAGCUGUCCAAUGUGCAGUAGUGGAUGCAUGCAGAUAUUGACAAACUUUGUUAACAGCAAAUGAGAUAUCUGGGCGAGUAAGAGUCAAGUACUGUAAUGCUCCAACAGUACUUCUAUACUUUGUGCUAUCUUCCUCAUAAAGUGGCUCACCUUCAUAUGCUGAAAGUUUCUCCGAGGAGGACAAUGUGUAGGUACAGGUUUGCAGUUUUUCAUCCCCAUACGAGAUAGAAGCUUGGUAACAUAUUUCUCUUGUUUUAGUACCAUGCCAUCUUGAGUCAUCUUAACUUCAAUGCCUAGAAAGAAGUGCAAAUGUAACAUCCCAAAAUUCUAAAUUUUGGAAUGUUAUAUUAAAUAAUUAAUUAUGAUUGUUUGUUUGUUGUGUGAUUGAUUGUGUGAAAAUGAUUGGAAAUUGAAAACUUUUUGAAAGUUGAAUGAGAGGGAAUAAAAGGACUUUCUCGAAACUUUUCAUCUUGCAUUUUGAUCUUCCUGAAUUCAAAUUCAUUUCAUCACAAAACCCUAGAGUGAAGAUAUUAUGACUUCUUCCAUUUAAAGAAAUUAAAAAAGGGGUUUGAAAAUGAUUUGAAUUCCAUUUGAAACAUUUCGAAUUUAGAAACUUUAAGAGCAUCUCCAGCCGUUCGCCCCCCAGGACGCAUAAAAAUCGCCCCCAGGGGGCGAGCCGGCGAUAUAAUCGGCGCUGGGAGCGGUUUCGCGCCCAGUCGUCGCCCCCAGGCGUCGAUAUUGGCCCACUUAUCCCAUUUCGGCGAAUAAAGGGCCCAUAUGGGCGACAAUAGGCCCAUAUUCCGCGUGGUUUGCCGUUGUUCGGCGUUCAGUUGUCACACCCUAGCUAGUCAUGCAUUAGAGUGUUGCAUCAUGUUUACUCUUUCAUCAGAAACUUGAAAUGGGGAUGACAGAACCCCCAGUCCCCUCUGAAACCAACUAGGGUUACUAAAAUAAUUUUUCAAUGAACCUGAAAUGCCCUUCUAAAAUGCCCAUCAUUUUUGCCUUGGUUCAGAACCUUUGCCAAAAGUGGUGCACAUUUUCCUAGGCCAUCCUAGGGUUUUUGAAUUAAGUCAUAAGUAUUUGAAUUUGGGCAUUUAAAAUUAUAUAAAAUAUUUAAAUGCUCAAAUAUCUCCAAACUAAAAUGUUUCAUGUUGGAAAUAAUCCAACUAUGGACCAGGAGUAGUUUGGUGAUUUUUGGAGUUGCCUAGGUAUUUUAUUUAAUUCAACAAAGUUGCAGAUAUAUUAAAUAAAAACAGAAAACAGAAAAAUAAAUAAAAGGAGUAGACUUACCUGGACCUACCUGCCCAGCCCAGCCGGCCCAGCACUGUGCUGGCCCGUGCCAGCCAGCUGCUUCCCCUUGCCAGAGCAGGCAGGGAGGUGAGCAUGGCGCGCCCGAGCUCGCCACGCACCACCCAGCCUCUCUGCAUCGCCCUGGUCGCCGUUGCGCCGCGUGGAUCGUCUUCUGGUCGUCGCCCCGACCUCGCCGACACCCCAUUCAUUCUCCCCCGGCUCUCCCUCGCUCUCUCCCCCGCCCGACCGAACACCACCGUCGCCGCCGUUCGCCAUAGCCACCGUCUCCGACCACCCCUCGCUCCCCCGACCAGCUCAGAAGCUCCGCCACAACUCCCUCUUCCUCCCCACCGCUCCACAGCUCCCCGGAAGCCCUGCAUUGCCGCCACGUCGCCGUUCCCCUCUUCGGGCUCCGACCACCGCCGCCGUCGAAUUCGCCGUCUCCAGCGCGUCCCCGAGCCCGCUUCGACGCCCACUGCAACCGCGGUGAGCUACGCCACCGUUUCCCCCUCUCCUUCCCCUCGUUCCCUCACCGUAGCUUCCUCCCCACCACGGCCGAACCUCCGCCGUCGCCGAGCUCGCCGUCGACGCAGCUCCGGUGACCAUUUGGUCACCCCGGCGAGUCCAACGGGUUCACAGAACCCCGUAGAGCAUCCCUAGCGCCUCGCCUUGCUCGACUUCGAGCUCCAGCACCGUUCCCGGACUGCUCAACUCACCCAUCCUUCGGGAAAGAUAGUCAAUGUCUUGACCCGAAUAGCCAAGCGACAAUUAUACUCUCUUAACGCCAGCCCCUUGCCAGACCUUGAGGACGUGCCGGUAGUCUGUGACUUCCCGGAUGUCUUUCCAGAAGAAUUGCCAGGUGUUCCACCUGACAGGGAUGUUGAGUUCGUAAUAGACCUCAUCCCCGGAACCGUUCCGAUUGCUAGAAGACCUUAUAAGAUGGCACCCCUAGAACUAGCCGAGCUUAAGAAACAACUCGAUGAAUCCUUGAAAAAGGGUUUCAUCCGCCCUAGUUCAUCUCCGUGGGCUUGCCCCGUCCUAUUCGUCAAGAAGAAGGAUGGUACGGACCGAAUGGUUGUAGAUUACCGACCUGUCAACUUGGUCACAAUCAAGAACAAAUACCCGCUUCCCAGGAUCAACGAUCUGUAUGAUCAGCUCGCUGGAUCCUCAGUCUUCUCCAAGAUGGAUUUGAGGUUGGGAUACCAUCAAAUCAAAAUCAGAAACGGGGACAUUCCUAAAACGGCCUUUGUUACUCGUUAUGGCCAAUACGAGUACACCGUCAUGUCCUUCGGUUUAACCAACGCUCCAGCCACCUUUUCUCGGUUAAUGAACUCAAUCUUCAUGGAGUAUUUGGACAAAUUCGUCAUAGUUUAUCUCGAUGAUAUACUCAUCUACUCCAAGAACGAGGAAGAACAUGCCGAACAUUUAAGGCUAGUGUUGAAGAAACUUCGAGAGCAUCGCCUUUAUGCCAAAUUUUCUAAAUGUGAAUUCUGGUUAUCAGAAGUGACCUAUCUGGGUCAUGUAAUAUCUGGUAAAGGUAUUGCUGUUAACCCUGAGCGAGUUCAAGCCGUCCUUGAUUGGACUCCACCCGAAUCGGUCAAGCAAGUUCGGAGUUUUCUAGGCUUAGCGAGCUAUUGUCGUCGCUUUGUCGAGAACUUCUCCAAAGUUGCUAAACCUCUAACCGAACUCCUCAAGAAAGAUAAGAAGUUCGAAUGGACUCCACAAUGUGAGCACAGCUUUCAGGAACUGAAAAGACGCCUGACUUCUGCUCCCGUGCUGGUACCGCCAGACUUCUCCAAGGACUUCGUUAUCUACUGCGACACCUCGCGACAAGGACUAGGUUGCAUUCUCAUGCAAGAUCGACACGUAAUUGCUUACGCUUCACGGCAAUUGCACCCACAUGAGGAGAAUUAUCCUACUCAUGAUCUAGAGCUUGCAGCCGUAGUCUAUGCACUUAAGACCUGGCGACAUUACCUCCUCGGUAAUCGUUGCGAAAUAUUCACUGAUCACCAAAGUCUGAAGUAUAUUUUCACCCAACCGGAUUUGAAUCUCAGGCAGAGAUGUUGGGUUGAAUUGAUCACAGACUUCGACUUAGGAAUAACCUACACCCCAGGGAAAGCCAACGUCAUGGCUGAUGCGCUAAGUCGUAAAUCUUAUUGUAACAACCUGAUGUUACAACAAAGUCAACCGCUUCUCCAUGAGGAAUUUCGGAAGCUUAACCUUCACAUUGUACCUCAAGGUUUUCUUUCCACCUUGGUGGCAAAACCUACCCUUACGGAUCAAAUUAUCAAAGCACAGAAGGUAGAUCCGGGAAUCUCCCGCAUCAAGAGAAACAUUCAGAAAGGAAUUGCGAAUUGCUUCUCCAUUAAUGAUCAAGGGGUCGUAUACUUCGGGGAUCGACUAGUGGUUCCCAAAGUGCGAAACCUGAGGCGAUUGAUCCUUAAGGAAGCUCAUGAAUCUCCUCUCACCAUUCAUCCCGGUAGUACUAAGAUGUAUCAGGACCUACGCCAGAGGUUCUGGUGGACUAGGAUGAAGAGAGAAAUUGCUCAGUAUAUUGCUAAUUGCGACGUCUGUCAUCGUGUAAAAGCAGAGCAUCAACGGCCUGCUGGCACCCUUCAACCCUUAGCUAUUCCUGAAUGGAAAUGGGAUAAAAUUGGUAUGGAUUUCAUUACCGGGUUUCCCAGGACCAAGAGAGGGAAUAAUGCUAUUUUCGUCGUGGUCGAUCGUCUCUCCGAAGUAGCUCAUUUCUUACCUGUUCGUGAGAGUAUAACCGCUAGUCAGCUGGCAGAUUUGUACAUCUCCCGAAUAGUGUCUCUACAUGGUGUUCCUUUGGAAAUUAACUCGGAUCGAGGAAGUCUUUUCACCUCUCGAUUUUGGGAAAGUUUCCAAAAUGCUAUGGGAACUCGUCUCUUCUUUAGCACCGCUUUCCACCCUCAGUCGAGUGGUCAAGUGGAACGCGUCAACCAAAUUCUAGAAGACAUGCUUCGAGCCUCUGUUAUCUCUUUCGGAAUGGACUGGGAGAAGUGCCUUCCAUUUGCCGAAUUCGCUUACAACAACAGCUAUCAAUCUAGCUUGGGUAAAGCCCCUUUUGAAGUUCUCUAUGGACGACGAUGUCGAACACCCCUUAACUGAUCAGAGACCGGGGAAAGACAAUUCUUUGGCCCGGAUAUGAUUCAGGAAGCAGAAGAACAAGUUCGUAUCGUUCGUGAAAAGUUGAAAACAGCCCAAUCUCGUCAAAAGAGUCAAUAUGACCGAAAACAUAAGGCUAUGACUUUCGAGGUUGACGAGAAGGCUUAUCUUCGGGUCACCCCUCUGAAGGGAACCCAUCGUUUCGGUAUCAAAGGCAAAUUGGCUCCUCGUUACAUUGGACCUUUUCGCAUUCUUGCCAAACGAGGAGAAGUUGCCUACCAGUUGGAACUACCUCCGCACCUCUCCAGAGUUCACGAUGUCUUCCACGUUUCUCAACUCAGGCGUUGCUUCUCGGAUCCUAUCCGUGAAGUGGACCACGAAACGCUUGAUCUCCAAGAUGAUCUUACAUAUCGAGAGUACCCCAUUCGUAUCCUCGAUCAAGCCGAACGUACCACGCGACGUCAUAAUAUCAAGUUUCUCAAGGUUCAAUGGUUGCACCAUUCUGAGGAUGAAGCAACUUGGGAAAGGGAGGAUCGUCUUCGACUCGAGUAUCCCGCCUUCUUCUCGGAGAAACCCAAAUCUCGGGACGAGAUUCUUUUGAGUGGGGGUGAGUUGUCACACCCUAGCUAGUCAUGCAUUAGAGUGUUGCAUCAUGUUUACUCUUUCAUCAGAAACUUGAAAUGGGGAUGACAGAACCCCCAGUCCCCUCUGAAACCAACUAGGGUUUACUAAAAUAAUUUUCAAUGAACCUGAAAUGCCCUUCUAAAAUGCCCAUCAUUUUUGCCUUGGUUCAGAACCUCUGUCAAAAGUGGUGCACAUUUUCCUAGGCCAUCCUAGGGUUUUUGAAUUAAGUCAUAAGUAUUUGAAUUUGGGCAUUUAAAAUUAUAUAAAAUAUUUAAAUGCUCAAAUAUCUCCAAACUAAAAUGUUUCAUGUUGGAAAUAAUCCAACUAUGGACCAGGAGUAGUUUGGUGAUUUUUGGAGUUGCCUAGGUAUUUUAUUUAAUUCAACAAAGUUGCAGAUAUAUUAAAUAAAAACAGAAAACAGAAAAAUAAAUAAAAGGAGUAGACUUACCUGGACCUACCUGCCCAGCCCAGCCGGCCCAGCACUGUGCUGGCCCGUGCCAGCCAGCUGCUUCCCCUUGCCAGAGCAGGCAGGGAGGUGAGCAUGGCGCGCCCGAGCUCGCCACGCACCACCCAGCCUCUCUGCAUCGCCCUGGUCGCCGUUGCGCCGCGUGGAUCAUCUUCUGGUCGUCGCCCCGACCUCGCCGACACCCCAUUCACUCUCCCCCGGCUCUCCCUCGCUCUCUCCCCCGCCCGACCGAACACCACCGUCGCCGCCGUUCGCCAUAGCCACCGUCUCCGACCACCCCUCGCUCCCCCGACCAGUUCAGAAGCUCCGCCACAACUCCCUCUUCCUCCCCACCGCUCCACAGCUCCCCGGAAGCCCUGCAUCGCCGCCACGUCGCCGUUCCCCUCUUCGGGCUCCGACCACCGCCCCCGUCGAAUUCGCCGUCUCCAGCGCGUCCCCGAGCCCGCUUCGACGCCCACUGCAACCGCGGUGAGCUACGCCACCGUUUCCCCCUCUCCUUCCCCUCGUUCCCUCACCGUAGCUUCCUCCCCACCACGGCCGAACCUCCGCCGUCGCCGAGCUCGCCGUCGACGCAGCUCCGGUGACCAUUUGGUCACCCCGGCGAGUCCAACGGGUUCACAGAACCCCGUAGAGCAUCCCUAGCGCCUCGCCUUGCUCGACUUCGAGCUCCAGCACCGUUCCCGUGCACGACCGAACCCCGGCGGCCGCAGCCGAGCUCGCCGCCGUCGACUCCGGCCACCCCGACCCCAACGGGCUCCGCCAAGAGCUGCGGGUUGUCCUCAGCUCCACUCAGGUGGCCUCCGCGAUCCAUUUGGUGGCCGAAACGACCAAAAUCACUUCCGCCGCCGCGUCGGGCUCGCCGGCGACUAAACGCCGGCAGCCGACACUGACUUUGACCACGGGUGGGCCCUGGUUGACUCCCCUGAGUCAAUGACAGGUGGGGCCCAGCCCUGUUAAUUAAACAGGAUUAGUUUUAAUUAAGUUUUAAUUAAAAUAAUCACCCUGACAUGCGGGACCCACUGUCAGGUUUGACCUGGACCAGUUCCGUUGACCUGCUGACGUCACACUGACGUCAGGCUGACGCAGUAAAUUAAUUUCUGGAUUUAAAUUAAAUCAGGAAAUUCCAGAAUAUUAUUUAAACUUCAAAAAUUCAUAACUUUUAUUCUGUAACUCCAAAUUGGACAAAUUAUAUAUGAAAAAUGAUCAGAAAAAUCCAAUCUAUCCAUCUGUACCAUUUUCAUGCAUGAUCAAACAAGUUAAGUUGAUGUUUUAAUCAGAACAAGAAAAGGCACUUUAAAAGGCCAUAUUUGAAUUUGAAAUCUGAAUCUUUGAUUCAAAUUUGUUCAAACCCUUCUGGUUUUUAGUUGCAUUAGCCCAACACACUCAUAUUGCCAUGUUUCAUGCAUGCAUCAUAUUGUUGCAUAUUGUUUGGUGAUGUUUGUGUAUCGAUGUCCUUUGCGACAGGAUCUGUCCCCGAGGAGUAUCGUGAUUACCCUAACGAAGAACCGUAUCCGUGCAACGAACCAUCAGGCAAGCAACCAACCAUUUGAUCAUAUCAAUACAAUCCCAUGUUCUCGCUCCUGCUCUCAUUUACUGCAUUAAGACAACGCGAUUCAAACUGCUGUGUGCUACGGUAGUUGAACCCAUUUCAUCUGCAUGACCUGUCAUUGCCACAGUAACUAGAUGAAACCCACUAGCAUGUGUAGGAGUUGAUUGAGCCAUAUGUAUGUGUUGUUCCUACCUUGCUAUGCCUGCUAUGCUUAGAGUCGUGUCAGGUCUGGUUCAUCUGGGUGAUGGGCUAGAGUGAAAUGAUUAUGUCGGUAAUGAGAGUGGUGUGGUGAACACGAUUUGGUAAAGGUAUCGAUGAGAGGCCAUGUAGGAGUACAUGGUGGGUUGUUUCAUUGAAGCCGACCUUAAGCACUGAGAUCUGUAUGUGUGAUUUAAGAUACAGCUACUACCAUGCAUUGGGCCCUGAAAUAUGACCCCGCUCGACUUCUUAUUCACCCUAGCUCUCUGUCUAGGAGUUGCAAGUAGUUUCUGGUGUUUGUAGCCUACUGGAGGCCGUGGACAGCGCUGACCGUAGGGGUGGGCUGUGAUGCGGUAGGUACGUGGCACGGUGUACCGAAUACCCGUUAGGUAUCUCGGGAACCCUGUUCACAUCGUUCGGGGCCGUAUGGGAAACCUCGGCCGGACUCCCUGCGGAUGGAACCUGAAUAGGCGAUAAACCUGGACUAGAGGCUUAAGUGUUUAGGUAGGUCGUGGUCUACACCCACGUCGGUUUUCGCUUGAAGUCUGCCGAGCACAUGUCGUGUGCAGACGCUAAGUGGUGGAAACAUGUAUGAAGAAGUACACCCCUGCAGGGUUAUCAUAAUCUAUUCGAAUAGCCGCGUCCGUGGUAAAGGACUACUUGGUUGCCUAUACAGUUCAUAGACAAGUAAAUGGAAACUACUAAAAGCCUCAAGAUAAGUGUGAGUGCCGAGGAUGGCUCUUCCGUAGGAAGACGGAGGUGAAUCCUCGGUAGUGUAUUGAAGUGGUGAGUAGUGGACUCGUGUGCGCAAAACUAUUUCAAGUUGGAGUAUCGUAGGUUAGCCUAGCCAAGAGUCAAAGCUGGCUUGCUGCAAUAACUCCACCAACCCUUCUUGAUACUAUGCAUGUAUGUAGGAUCUGAUGUAAGUCUUGCUGAGUACCUUUGUACUCAUGUUGCUAUAAUCUACAUUUUUUACAGAAGACGCUGCAACCCCUUCUGAUGGGUUCUAUGUAGACGUUGACAUCAACGAGUAGGCUAAAGACCCAGGUGGUGACCCUGAGCUUGUGAUGGACCACGUAGUAUAGCUAGGCUUUCCAAGCCUCUUUUAUUUUACUAGUUGUCUGUACCCAGACAAAGUACUUCCGCUGUUGGCUUGUAUGACUGUAUGAUUUGUAUGUUGGGUCGUGAGACCCGUACCUGUGUGUAUGAUAUGUAUGGCUCCCUGAGCCUUAAAUAAAGUACUUGUGUCAUAGAGUCAUGUUGUGAUGCUUCGUUGUAUUUGCACAUAUCGAGCAUAUUGUGUGUAUGAUUGAAAUGCUUGGUAUGUGUGGGAUCUGACUAUCUAGUUGUUUAUCUUUAGUAGCCUCUCUUACCGGGAAAUGUCUCCUAGUGUUACCGCUGAGCCAUGGUAGCUUGCUACUGCUCUGGAACACUUAGGCUGGCCGGCAUAUGUCCUUCUUCGUUCCUGUGUCUGUCCCUUCGGGGAAAUGUCACGCUUUGAGUACCGGAGUCCUGUUAGCCCGCUACAGCCCGGUUUACCGGAGUCCUGCUAGCCCAGUGCUACAGCCCGGACCCACUUGCUGAUGACCGACACGUUCGAAGCUGGGUCAUGGAUGCCUGUCCCUGUAAGUCUGUGCCACUUUGGGUUUACGACUAGUCAUGUCAGCCCGGGCUCUUUAUCAUAUGGAUGCUAGCGACACUAUCAUAUACGUGAGCCAAAAGGCGCAAACGGUCCCGGGAAAAGGUAAGACGACACCCGUGGGGAUACCGUGCGUGAGGCCGCAAAGUGAUAUGAGGUGUUACCAGCUAGAUCGAUGUGACAUCGAGUCGGGGUCCUGACAUCAAUUAUGCACAUAAAUUUUUUAUCACAUAUUUCAUCACAGAAAUAUCAAAUACUUCAACAAAAUAGUACAACAACAAAUAGUUCAAUACAAUUUAUAUAGUUGAAGAAAUAAAAACUCAUAUUCCAUCACACGUCGCGCCCGACGUCACCCUUGAGCCUCCAUAGAUGCUCUAUCAGAUCUUGCUGCACUUGAUGAUGCACCUGUGGGUCUCGGAUCUCCUGACGCAUACUGAGAUAGGCAGUCCAGGUUGCCGGUAGCUGGUGAUCAACUUCGGCUAGAUGACCCUGCCUAUAGUAUGGUUCAGUGUCAAACACUGGGUCUUCUUGCUCGUUCUCGAUGAUCAUGUUGUGCAAGAUGACACAGCAAGUCAUAAUCUCCCACAUUUGAUCUUUCGACCAGGUCUGAGCGGGGUACCGGACAACAGCAAAUCGAGAUUGGAGCAUACCAAAUGCCCUCUCGACAUCCUUCCUGUAAGCCUCCUGAACCUUCGCAAACCAGCCGUUCUUGCCUCCUGGCACAGGGUUUGAGAUCGUCUUCACAAAUGUCGACCAUCUCGGAUAGAUGCCAUCAGCUAGAUAGUACCCCUUGUUGUAGUGCCGCCCAUUGAUCUCGAAGUUCACCGGAGGAGAAUGACCUUCAACAAGCUUGGCAAAGACAGGAGAGCACUGCAGCACGUUGAUGUCAUUGUGAGUUCCUGGCAUACCAAAGAAGGAGUGACAAAUGCAGAGGUCCUGUGUGGCCACCGCCUCAAGUACCACACUGCAACCGUCUUUGGCGCCUUUGUACAUCCCCUGCCAAGCAAAUGGGCAAUUCUUCCAUUUCCAAUGCAUGCAGUCGACUCUUCCAAGCAUCCCAGGAAAUCCUCUUGCUGCAUUCUGUGCUAGGAUCCGAGAAGUGUCUUCCGCAUUGGGUGUUCUCAAGUAUUGCGGUCCAAACACGGCCACCAUUGUCCGAAAGAACUUGUAGAAACACUCUAUGCUGGUGGACUCGGCCAUGUGCCCAUAGUCGUCGAGUGAAUCACCGGGAGCUCCGUAUGCAAGCAUCCUCAUCGCUGUCGUGCACUUCUGAAUGGAGGUGAAUCCAAGGGCGCCGGUGCAAUCCAUCUUGCACUUGAAGUAGUUGUCGAACUCCCGGAUGGAAUUCACAAUCCUGAGGAAGAGCUUUCGGCUCAUCCGAUAACCGCGCCGAAAUGUUUUCUCGCCGUGAAGUGGAGCAUCGGCGAAGUAGUCGGAGUAGAGCAUGCAGUAGCCUUCGAGACGAUGCCGGUUCAUUGCUUUCACCCGCCCCGGCGCCGAGCCACCUCGCUGCGGCUUUUCAUUGCUCGCCAGCAGCUGGGCAAGGGCGGCGAGCAACAUGAGAUGCUCUUCUUCCUGGACAUCGGCCUCGGCUUCCUCCUCCAACAGCGCGGCGAGCGCUUCCUCAUCAUCCGAGUCCAUCGCCGAGGCAGGCAAAUCGCCGAACACCUUGCGCCCGGUGGGCGUGUACCCGCCGCUAAACUGCCCCUCUGCGGCCGGAAACACCCAGCUGCUGUUGGAGGGGCUGCCGCGGUGAAGCUCUGCUAUUUUUUCGGCGGGGAAUGGCUAUCUAGCGGUGAAGGGCGGCAGGCGGCGUCAGGAUAUAGCUAGUGGCGGCCGAGGGCGCGGGGGUGGGAGGCGAGUCGGGGAAGAAAACCUUAACUUUUCCCCUGCUGGUGUGGGCCAGCCGCGCUUUUCCCUUGCGCCGGGGCUCCCAAUUGCCCCUAGUGCGCCGGGUUUGGCCUGUGACCGCCGAGCGGAAAAAAGGGCCGAACCGGCAAUUUUCGGCGUCCUGGGGGCGCGAGUGGGGAAUUUUUUUGGCGCCGGCGGCGAAAAAGUGGCCUGGGGGGCCUGUUGGGGGCGCGGCCGGAGAUGCUCUAAGCAAUUCAAUGAGUUCAUGAGGGAAGAUAAAAUGACUUCUUCAAAUCAAAGGAAGAGAGUUGGAAGUUUCAAAGGAAUAAUUUGAAGACACUUUGAAGUUAUUUGAAACUCAUUUUUCCAUUUGAAGUUGUUUGAAAUUCCAAAUUUCAAAUCCUCUUGGGAGUUAUUUAGGUUUAAUUCAAAUUAUUUUUCUCCAAAAAAUAAAUAGAUGGAAAUAAGGGUAAAAUGAUUCCCUUCAAUAGAAAAUUAGGAGAAAAUAUAUUUGAAAUCAUUUUGCUAUUUUAAAAACGAUUUUUAUUGAUUUUAAAUGCAAUAGUAGCACUAUUUGACUUUUAUGAAUUUUUAUGGAAUUUAGUUGAACUUGAAAAAUAAUUCAUCUUAUUGCUGCUAUUUUUCUGAGCAUUUUGGUAUAUAAUAUUCCUACGUAAUUUUUUUAGUUAUCUUCCUAUGUUGAAGGUUUUGUUUCUGCAAAAAAAAACACGCGCCCGCCAGCCAGCCCAGGGUCUUCGGCCCAAGAGCCAGCCAGCACACCAAGCCGGCCCAGCAGCGCCCCAGGCCGCUCGAGGCCUCUUGCCUCGUUCUCCCAGGCCCCUCUUCCCUCGCUCGCUCUCUCCCACCGCCGCUGCUAGUGGGGCCCGCAACCCUUCGUCCCUAACUUCCCGCUCCUCCCGUUGAUAUAGAGCACGUUGAUAUAGAGCACGCGUGUGCCGCCCGCAACUGCCGGCUGCUCUGCUCGGGAUAGAGCUCAUCCCCAGUGUCCGCAGCCUCUUCUCGCGCCUAUAAAUUCCCCCGACUCCCCUCGUUCGAUUUUGCCACUCCGCAACGACCCACGCCACUCACAGCCGCCGCCUUCGUCGUUUGGAUCUCGCCCGUCGGAGCUACCUGGCCGGUCCGUUCCCCCGUCCGUAAGACUGCCUCGACCCGUUCUUCUUUGUCAAUUGACUCCCCGCGUCAAGGCGCAUCUGAUUGACAAAAAAUUGCCGCCUUGGUCGUACCAGAGACGACGCCCCGACGCGCCGCGCUCUCGCCGGAGCACCGGAGCUCCGCCGCCUCCCUCCGCUCGUCGCUGGCCACCCCACCGCCCGCCGACCCCACCAGCACGCCGCCCACGCCGCGCCCGACCUCCCCGACCCCUUCGUCGCCGCUGCCCACUGAGGACCGCCGGAGACGCCCCCGUGUCCGCCGUCCGCCGCCUGACGCUAGCGCUGCCGCCCCUGUUCGCCGUCCUCGCUCGCUGUGAGCCGCUGACCCUCAGUCAUUUUUGUUGUUGUUGUAUUAGAUCGGGUAACCGUGGUUUUAUUAAACCGUGCAGUUUAGUAAAAAACCGGUCUCCGGUUUUCUUUUUAUUUAGCCGCGGUAGCCGUUUUAUUUAUUCAGUGGCCGUCCGCCGUUUAGCCUGAGCCGCGAACGCUUCUCAGCCACCCGGAAGCCGCCACGUGGCCAGGGACCUGGUCACGAAUAAAACUUUCACAAUUAAGACCCUUAGAUUUCAGUUUAGCCCCUAAACUUCGAAUGGUUGUAUCUUUUUAACCGUAACUGCAAAUUCGACGAAACCAGCAGCAAAAUGUUCAUGUCCAAUAGUUUUAUCCAGAGAACCAACUUUGAAAACUUUUGGACAAAUUCAAAUUUGAACUUUAUUCAGAUUUGAAUUCAAACUUCAACUGGCCAUAUCUCUUAAACCGUAGCUCCGAUUGGUGUGAUUCUUUUUGCAACGUGUCAUCGUAGCCAAACCCUACCACCUAGACCUUGUCACAAUCUGUCUAUGAUAGUUUUACUAUUAUGCCAUGUAUGGACUUUAGUACACAUCACAGUUUUGAACCCCAUGUCACAAGUUGUUUUGCACUUAGGAUAUUUCCAUGCUAGUUAACUGUGUUGAAUAUUCAUUUGGUUUUUCUGAGACUUUGUGCUUUGCAUGUUCUUCUUGGUUCUCUGAAACGAUUGCUUAUGUGAGUGCAAUGUUUGACUUUAUAGAUUUUCAUCGGAGAGUGAAGAAUAGUUCUAUUAAAUAAAUUUCUGAGAGCGAUAUAAUCUUCAUCAACUAUUACCAGGCAAGUUCACAUUUGACCAUUUUUCCAAUUACCUAUGUUUAUAUUAUGCACUUAGUCCUUUUGUGGUAGGAUUGCAUGGUAGGAUUUAUUGUUACCAGAUGGCUAUGCCGUUACCUAGUAGUUCAUUUAAGGUAGGUAUGAUCUAUACAUCCUUGUCACCACCGUGUAAGUUUAUUUUUGCCUCACUAAAUGUAGACGUGGUUUGGGAAGCGAACAUGGCGAGACAUGAGUGACAAAGUAGUAAUCAGGACCAAGACUUGUAAAUGAACUACCUGGGCGGUAUUUUGUUUGAAUGGUGGCGAAGUACAGUGGGAGCAUGCAUGGUUAAUCCAUGGUGGUGCACCACUAGUGGUUGGCCGCUUAGGCUCAAAGAGAUCAAUAGUAUUCUCAUGUCUAGAAGCUUAAGUGUGCAGCCACAAACCAAUAUGGGCUCUAGCUUAGUUGAGUAGUUAGUGUGACCCAUUCCGGGAUGGGCUAGCAGAUGUAGAAUGAUGUAGGUGUACCGGCCUAUCCAUGGGUUAAGGGGUGACAUUUUUGAAAGAGUAUGUCUCGGUCAUCCUGUUCUCAAACGCCAGGCAGUGCGAGAACUCCAGGGGAGGCGAUCGAGUCUUGUGGGGAAAAGUGCGCAAACCUCUGUAGAGUGUUUUUUUUGAACUUGACAGUGGGAGAGAACUCCCACUGUAUAUUUUCACAUAUCUAUAUAAAUGGGGUGUUUACAUAGACAUACCACUCACACACAUCCAGCUCCACUCUUGGUGGAACCACCAGGGGUGGGGCAACUACACCAUGGUCACUGCUAUACACUUGUCUCUAAGUAUUUAAAGAGGGAAGAAUAAAACACAGUAUGUCUCAGCUAAGUGUGCCACAGUAUGAAAGCAGGGCAGCUCUACGUGUACCCUGAACUCUAUGUUGCAGAAGUCCCAAGUCCUCUUUGAAUCGAUGGAACCAAGAUGCAAUGCUUGGGGUUACACCUCUGAAGUGUUUAUUGUUUCUUUCCUUCCACAAACUCCAGGUAGUAGUGAAAAAUGCUUCAAUGAAGAAAGGAUUGGGCCAGUUGGGUUGUGCGUUUUGCAACGCAUCAAACCUAUUUUGAAAAUCAAUCCAGUGAACACCUAUCUUGGCCCAACACCUUUCGCUGAACUGGCAGGUGAAGAUCAUAUGCUCGAGAGUCUCAUCUGCAUUUUGCCCACAAAGGAGACAUGUGAUGUCAUUCCCAAUGUCAUAGUGUCUUCUUCUCAGCAUGUCACAUGUGUUCAACCUGUCGUGCAGCAACAACCAUCCAAAUACUUUGAUUUUCAUCAUACAGUUUGAUUUCCAAAGGAGCGGGAAGAUGGGAUGAGCUGUUGCAUCACGGGAGAAGUUGUUAUAGUAGUCUUUUGGCUUGUACCCAGCUGCCCCCCAAGCAUAGAGCCAAACAUCAGAUAUUGUUGUGGAUGGGUGUAUGCGGAAUGCUGCAUGUUGGACAUCUUGCACCUCGUUGAGCGCACGAGCAGAUAGCGGUAGGUGAAAGGUUUCAUGCAGUUCAGUGUUGGCCCAGAAGUCAGCGACCGUCAUGUCUUCCUGCAGAGCAAAUGAAAAGGCACGCGGGUGCGAUGUUUGUAGCACAUCAUUUGACCACAAGUCUUUCCAGAGCAGCGUAGUCGAGCCAUCAACUACUUGGACACGAGUGAUCCCUCGGUAGAUGGGCGUUAAUUUGAGAAUGUCUUUCCACCAGAAAGAACCGACUAGAUCAACCGCAUGAGGCACCUGGUUAGCAUACUGAUUAUCCCAAAGCAUAGUAACCCAUGGUACGUCCAGUUUGUUAUAGAACUUGUGGAGAAAUUUUAGCAGGAGGGCUUCGUUGUAGAUUGUAAUGUUGAUCACUCCUAACCCACAUUUACACUUGGGCUUGCACACUAGUUCCCAAGCCGCAAGCGAAUUACAUUUGUCACCUUGGUCGGUUUUCUUUGUCCAGAGACAUCUCCUUCUAAUCUUGUCAAGAAUUUCAAUUAGAUUCGGAGGGAACUUGAGCGUGCACAUGGCAAACACCAGAAGGGAUGUGACCGAUGCAUUGAGCCAGGAGAGGCGGCCCCCAUAGGACAUCAUAGCGAUCGUGGCAGUGAGACGAUGCUCCAUUUUGCAAACUAGAGGCAUGAAUUCUUGAAUGGUUGGUCUUGUAGUGCCAAGUGGCAGGCCAAGGUAGGUGAAAGGCAUUGUACCUAUAGUGCAGCCAAAAAUGGCAGCAAGGCUAGAGGUUGCACUUGCGUCCAGGUUGAUUGGUAUGAGCGUCGACUUGUGAAAGUUAAUUUUGAGGCCAAUAGAGGAUGCAUAGUCAGAGAGAAUGUUCUUGACACGGGCAGCCUGUUGUGGGCAAGCAGGCAAGACAAGGAGGGUGUCGUCCGCAUAUUGGAUCACUGGGUAAUCAUUUUGCCCAUUGCAUGGAAAAGGCAGGCUGAUAUCUCCACGUCGAUAAGCAUCAUUGCCGUGGCUUGAAGUAGUUCAGCUGCCAGGACGAAAAUGAGGGGGGACAGAGGAUCACCUUGCCGCACACCGCAUCGACAAAGGAACUGUCGGCCUGGGACCCCAUUAAGAAGUUUGGACGAGCGACCCGAGGAGAAGAGGCACUUGAUCCAGGAGAUCCACUUGUCACUGAAACCCAUCUGCUGCAUAAUGCAAAUCAUUGGUUCAUGCGUGAUGGUAUCGAAUGCUUUGGCGAAAUCAAGUUUAAGAAUAAUGAUUGGCCGGCCCAAGUUUUGACAGUGAUAAAGAUAUUGAUAAUCUCAUGCCAGACAAUUCUGUAUAGUAUGCCCUUUAAUGAACCCAUACUGAUUCCGGUGAAUGAGGGUGAGAAUGACAAGUUGAAGUCUGUCUGCUAGCAGUUUGGUAAUCAACUUGAGGCAGCAGUUGAGCAAUGUAAUGAGUCUGAAAUCAUUGACUGUUUCUGGAGAGUUAGUCUUAGGUAUAAGUGUGAUAAGACCAUCAUUGAUACUUGUGACAUCUAACGUACCUGCAUAGAACUGAUCACAUAGGGUGUAAAAGUCAUGUCGAAUGAUGGGCCAGCAGGCUUUCAAAAACGCCCCACUAAAGCCAUCUGGGCCAGGUGCGUGGUCCGGAGGCAUACCUUUGACCACAUUAUCGAUUUCCUCAUGUGAAAAAGGCGUGGUAAGUUGGUCAAGAUUUGUAGCGCGGGGGAUAAUGUUUGGAAGAUCAAAUUUCAUGUCUGAAGGGGAGACCGUACCCAGGCGGUUUUUGUAAGUUUGAAACAAGAGGGCCUCUUUUGCAGGAUGAUUGUCGACCAAUGUGCCAUCCUCAAGCUUGAGUGAGGAGAUAUUGUUUUGUCGAUAACGUUCCCUGGCCACUGCUUGGAAAAACUUGGAGUUUUCAUCGCCAAACUUGAUCCAACGAAUAGUACAACGCUUCUUCCAAUAAAGUUUUUGAUAUUUGAGCAGUCUCAGCAAGUGUGACUUUAGGAUACGUUUGAAGUUCAUUUUUGGAAUUGAAAGGAUUCGUUUAUUCUGCCAGGACAUGGUUACAGUUCGUGAUGGCCACUAAUAGACGAGAAAUAUUCUUACUCCAGAUUUUGAGAGUGUGUCGAAGAGCUUUGAAUUUUCAGCAAAGGAUUGUGGCAGCAUUUGCGUUCCAAACUGGCCAUUCCCAAACCUCUCUAACUAUGUCCAUAAACCCUGGGUGUAAGGUCCAGUAGGAUUCAAAACGAAAGAGCUUGGAUCGGGGGAUUUUGGUCUCUAUGGUGACAACGCAAGGGAUGUGAUCAGAAACGGGCUUGCCAAGGGGUUUAACGAGCAUCUUAGGAUAUGCGUUACUCCAAUGCAAGGAUGUGGAGAACCAGUCAAUCUGUUCAAGCAAAGGAUCGGUCUGCAUAUUGCUCCAAGUGUAGGUUCUACCUUUUACCGGAAGCUCAAUCAGUUGCUGCUGACGAAUGAUGUCAUUGAACGUAAUCAUGUCGUGAAUGUUACCCCCAGGUUUAUUAUGAUUGUCUGGAGCUCUCAUGUAGUUAAAGUCGCCCAAAAGUAACCAGUCUUGGUUACGGGGUAUUUGAACAUCGUACAACCAUUGCGUGAAAACAUCCCUGUCUGUACCAGUGCAAGGCCCGUACACGUUAACUAACGUCCAAUGUUGAGAGGAUUGCGUGCUAACGAACUCGAUGGCUAGCGCAAAUGGAUCAGACGAGAGUACUGAACCAGAGAAAACCGAGCUUUUCCAGAUUGUAAGUAACCCCCAGAGGCGCCGCGCGAAGGGACAAAAGCAAAACGAUCAAAUUGUCUAGGACAGCAAGUUUUAAUAGAAGCAAAAGUAACCUCAGGCAUCUUAGUCUCCUAAGGACAAGCGAUAGCAAAACCACUGGUAGAGAUAGCAUUAUUCAGAGCCAGUCGCUUCUUCUCAGAAUUGAGCCCACGGAUAUUCCAUGAGAGCACAUUCCAGCAGCUCAACGACGUCAUAUAGAACUCCAAUAUUAAGCAGAGGUGUGAGAGAGAUCCUCUCCCUGGUCAUCACUAUUAAUCGAAGAGGCAAAAGAUUCGGGCACGGCAGCAGUUUCAGCAAGCAGGGCUUCUUUAGAAAGUUCAGUAGCAGGUAUAGCACAUCUGUUAACUCCAAUGGAUUGUAGAGUAACUAUAGGAGUUGGGGGCGGGACCUCACCAGCAGAAGUAGCAGCAGAUGCUGAUGUGCCAAUAGACGGGAUGACACGGGGCUUAACUUUGGAAUUGUUCUUGCGACUGUCAGAGAGGGGAGGAACCUUGACCCCAUCAUACGUGUUGGAGCGGAGACUGCGGCGCACUUCAGUUGUGGAGAUAGGGGCAGCAGCCCUGGUCCUACGGGGGCGCGGGCCAGUGGUGGCCAUAGAAGCAGUUGCCUCUGAGAUCACAGAAGGUUCUGAAGGUGGAAUGUGCACAACUUGUUCUGUGUCCAUUGGGGCGUCUUCAGUGUUGGGCGGCAUGGCGGGCUCAAUGGCGUUUUCCACACUAGCAUGUUCAGAUAGGUCCUCAAUGAUCACAGCGGAGGCAGCCAAAGCAGAAGUAGAGCUUGAUUGCUGGGAAAAGGUCAGACUAGUAGAAUCCUGUGUGAUCAAGACAGACAACUGAACCUGGUUUGUUCUCAGACCAAACCCCUCUAUCCAAGGUCCAAAAGUUGCAAGCAUUGGGCUAACAGCUUGGAAGAUGAAUGUGUUAAGAUUCAGGCGUGGGAUUGGGUCAUUCAGCAGCCUGGAAAGGAUCUCAUCUCCUUGAGCAGAUAAACCAAAUCUGACACCUUGAUCAUUGAUCUCCAGUGUGAUGUUAAGAGAUUCAAAGCUUGCACUGUCAGACAGCUGUAUAGCUGGAUCAGCCGGGAUGAGAAUGUCAGACUGGGUCAAGCUUGAACUGUCAAACUGGGUGAUCGAAUCAUUCCAAGCUUGGAGAGCAUUAUCAGUGACAUUGUUUUCAGGGACUAACCCAUGUUGCACAGUCAGACCCUGCGCAGCAAGCCAGGCUUGUUAGUUCACCAAAUGGAGCGGCAUUUGCGGGAGUGGAGGAGCAGCGGGCGCCUCCCAAGUGCCCCAUCCAGUGUUGUCAUCCACUUGUUGAGCCUCAUUGUUGCCAGCUGCGGGUGCACCAUUCUGAAUGAGCCAAUUGUGAACUUGCUGCUGAUAUAACUGUUCUGCAGUGAGUUCAGGGCCAAACUGUGGAUGUGGGUUGCCAUCGGGGGGUGGCAUUUCCUCAGGUGCAGCAGGUACAUCAGGGAGGAGGCCAUUCCAGUCGUUGCUGCGACGGAUGGUCACUACUACUGUCCAACUGUCGUGCGCACCACCCAGCUGCCAUACCACAAAGCUCUUGGGGAUGAGGCGCAGACUAAGUACUCUGACUUUUAGAAGGAUGAAUCUGCGGUCCUGACGCGGAUUAUACCAGGAAACUAAGGAACCAUAUCCACCCAAGGCCUUAGUGAUGUAAUAGUCCAUUUGGUAGUCAUACGGAAAGCCGAAGAACAUAAUCCAAAUCUCAGGCCCAAACGGUGCAGCUCUACGAUUAAGAGCCGCAUUGUGCGAAACGAAGGUGAUCAACAGAUCUUCAUCUUCAAGCUCAAGCGGUGUGUUGACAGCAUUAUCUCUCAUAAAGGAAUCCACAAAACCAAAAAUCCCAACACCAAGGGGGUGAUCCGAUGGCGGACGGUGGCCCGGCGAUGCAGGGGCAGAUACUCACUGGCUUCUGCAAUGGCCAGGAACUCAUGGCUGAGUGGAGCAAUCGGGCCAACGACCAUGCCGCUGCGCACAAGACUAUCGGCCGGCCCUGGCUCAGCGGCAAAACCCGGCGGGAGGAAAGGCACAGGGUUCAGUGGGUAGUUCGCCAUUGUGGUGGAAGGGAUCAGAGGGGAGGACGGUGGUGCGGAGAUGGGAUGCAACUGCAAUGGCGCAAGCUGCAGCAAAGCGUCAGACUGUGGCGAUGGGACUGGACGGGAUGUGGCCCAUUGGGUUCUCGAGGCGGAAGCUGAAGCGUGAAUGGGGGCGGUAGAAGGCAAAGUUGCCUUUGCAACCUCUGUAGAGUGUUAAAACCUAAUCGAUUAACCAUGUCCCCGGUUACGGACAACUUGAGCAUCUAGUAGUGGAAAUGAUGGGAGAUCUCAUCACUCUUAAUUAAACAGUUGGUUUUUAAAUGAAACAUUGGGAAUGGAUUGAGUUGGGUUUGCCAACUCAUCCUAUGCUAUACUGUAGUGAUAGACUAAUGUCUUUUAUUCUAGGGAAAAACUAGCUUUAUGCAAAAACUAAACUUAGAGUUUUCCACCAGCCAAAUUGCAUGUACAAAUAGGUUCAUUAUUCUUAUGAUGUGACUUGCCAGUACAUUCAAUGUACUGACCUAUAGGGCUGCAACGUCUUAUGUUGCAGGAAUUUCUACGACGAGUAAGAAUUAUGUUGUAGGGUUAUCGUCUACACUCAACUUGCCGUUGGCGUUGAUGGGACUCCACACCCGUUCGAUUGUUUCCACUGAGAUUUAUGAGGUAUAUAUCAGUUUUGCGUUAUUUAUACAUUUGAUUGAACUUUGAUAUAUACAUUGAUGUACUGUGUGUGCCAGCAUAUCAAUCCAGGGAUGGCCCGGAUACACAGAGGCUUGACAGUUUGAGCUCGGGUCGCUACAGAGAUGGUAUCAGAGCACAUGUUGACUAUAGGACGUGACCCUAGAAACUGGAAAGCCCUUAGGAAAAGAUUUCUCUAAAAGUUUAUUUUCAAAAAGAUCCUUUACCUCUCUUCAUUUCUGAGCUUUAUCAAAUCUUUCCUUUUACCCCAAAUAGGUAGGCAAUAUCCCUUUUCCCUUUCACCACGCGGAGGAUCAACUGAUGAGACCACUCCGAGAAGGGCAAGAUAUCGGCCAACUGAUGGCCACUUCAAAGUAAAGAGGAUUUCAUCAUGCAUUAGAACAGUUAAUGCUACGACAGUCGAAGACUCGAAGAAUUUGAAGACACUGAAGAAUUCCAAGAUUUAUAUGACCUUUAGAAGACCAAACCCUUGUUGUGUACUCACGUUAGAUGCGAUGAUUUGUGAGCUGUCAUAUUUGGUGUGUGUUUUCCAUUGCAACAAAUAAAACUUAUUUUCAAAAACUAUAUUGUUUGUAUUGUGUGUAUCUUUCUCUAUCCCUCUUAUCUCAUCCCAAAACCCUUGGACCCAAUAGAUGAUGAAUGAAGAUGGACUUGUAUUCUCUGGACCGAUCACUCGGUUAGAGGAAGAGCUAUGGAUUCAAAACAUGGAGAGUCACUUCGAGAGCAAUUUGGUUGCAAGGAAGUAUGAGGUUCAAUAUGCUCUUUAAUACUUUACAAAAAGUGCUACAACAUGGUGGAAAAUGCAUCAAGCCAUACAAGGAUGUAAUGGAGCAAAAACUUGGGAGGAAUUGAAGAAGACUCUGUUGGGAUCCCGUCUUAUCCGGAAGCACGGUGAUAAACUGAUGAAGAAACCUUGUGCCUGCAAGAUAUGUGGAGAAAUAGGACACACCCAUGAAGAACACAAGGAUGGAUGCCCUCAUUAUGAAGGAAAUCACCCAGCAGAAGAGUGCCCAACUAGGCAGGUUACUUGUUUCUUGUGUGAAGGAACUACGCACUACCCUGCCCAGUGUCAUAUUUACCCCAGGGUACAAGAAAUUACCAAGAACCAGAAGGAAGAAGUGAAAGAAGCCCUCAGGGAAAGUUUAAGAAAACUGGUGAUGAAAGAAGAUGUUGACGACCCUGAUGGAGAAAGCCUAAACAGAUUUUACUCCAAUGCUUGCUAUGCAUGUGGAGAAGAAGGACAUUUCUCACAAUAUUGCGUGAAGGAAAACCAAGAGUAUCUGGGAGACUUCCCGAUAGAAGAAGUGGGGUUUGAUCGACAAGAGAUAGAAGAAUUGAUCGGAACGAAGAAGUCGAGGAAGAGAAAGAGCAUGUAUCCCCAGAACAACCCAGUUUCUGCAGAAAAGGACCUGAGUCAUAUCACUUGUUACAGCUGCAAGGAUUUAGCUCAUUAUUCUAGCAAAUGCCCACCAAGGAAGCCAAGAACCCAAGGAACCAAGAUAACCACCAGGAACCCCUGGAUUUGUCUGACGCCAUUUGUUUACGCUGCAAAGGAGUAGGACAUUUUGUCAGAGAAUGUUCAGACCCGAGGAAAGCUUGAGCAGAGUAGUUGAGAUCUUGAUAUUGGAAUAAAGCAUGUAAUAAAUGUGGAACGCACUUUUAUUUUCGUGGGGGGUGUUGAUACGUCUCCAACGUAUCUAUAAUUUUUGAUUGCUCCAUGCUAUAUUAUCUACUGUUUUGGACUAUAUUGGGCUUUAUUUUCCACUUUUAUAUUAUUUUUGGGACUAACCUAUUAACCGGAGGCCCAGCCCAGAAUUACUGUUUUUUUGCCUAUUUCAGUGUUUUGGAUAAACGGAAUAUCAAACGGAGUCCAAACGGAAUAAAAUCUUCGGGAACGUGAUUUUCUCACCGAACGUGAUCCAUGAGACUUGGACCUUGCUCUAAGGAACAAAAGAGGCGGUCACGAGGGUGGGGGGUGCCCCCCCUAGGGCGCGCCCCCCUGCCUCGUGGGCCCCUCGUUGCUCCUCCGGCGUACUUCUUCCUCCUAUAUAUACACAUGUACCCCCAAACGAUCAGAAGAGGAGCCAAAAACCUAAUUCCACCGCCGCAACUUUCUGUAUCAGAAGAGAUCCCAUCUUGGGGCCUGUUCCGGAGCUCUGCCAGAAGAUGGCCGUCAUCACGGAGGGCUUCUACAUCCUCCUAGCCCCUCCGAUGAAGUGUGAGUUGUUUACCUCAGACCUUCGGGUCCAUAGUUAGUAGCUAGAUGGCUUCUUCUCUCUCUUUGAAUCUCAAUACAAAGUUCUCCCCCUCUCUUGUGGAGAUCUAUUCGAUGUAAUCUUCUUUUCGCGGUGUGUUUGUUGAGACCGAUGAAUUGUGGGUUUAUGAUCAAGUCUAUCUAUGAAUAAUAUUUGAAUCUUCUCUGAAUUCUUUUAUGUAUGAUUGGUUAUCUAUGCAACUCUAUUCGAAUUGUCCGUUUGGUUUGGCCAACUAGAUUGGUAGUUCUUGCCAUGGGAGAAGUGCUUAGCUUUGGGUUCGAUCUUGCGGUGUCCUUACCUAGUGACAGAAGGGGCAGCAAGGCACGUAUUGUAUCGUUGCCAUCGAGGAUAACAAGAUGGGGUUUAUUUCAUAUUGCAUGAAUUUAUCUCUCUACAUCAUGUCAUCUUGCUUAAGGCGUUACUCUGUUUUUAACUUAAUACUCUAGAUGCAUGCUGGAUAGCGGUCGAUGAGUGGAGUAAUAGUAGUAGAUGCAGAAUCGUUUCGAUCUACAUGUCACGGACGUGAUGCCUAUAUACAUGAUCAUGCCUAGAUAUUCUCAUAACUAUGCUCAAUUCUGUCAAUUGCUCAAUAGUAAUUUGUUCACCCACCGUAGAAUACUUAUGCUCUUGAGAGAAGCCACUAGUGAAACCUAUGGCCCCCGGGUCUAUUCUCAUCAUAUCAAUCUCCAUCACUUUAAAUCUUGCUUUGUUUUUACUUUGCUUUUACUUUUUAAUUUGCAUCUUUAUACCAAAAAUACCAAAAAUAUUAUAUCUAUCAGAUCUCAUUCUCGUAAGUGACCGUGAAGGGCUUGACAACCCCUAAUCGCGUUGGUUGCGAGUAGCUAUCGCUUUGUGCAGGUACGAGGGACUUGAGCGUGGGCUCCUACUGGAUUGAUACCUUGGUUCUCAAAAACUGAGGGAAAUACUUACGCUACUCUGCUGCAUCAUCCCUUCGUCUUCGGGGAAAACCAACGCUAGCUCAAGAUGUAGCAGGUGUUGAGUUGAGUUACCGAAUGGAAAUUGUAAUAGCUCAUGAAGAAAUAAAAAUUGAGUUGUUUGGAAUCUCAUAUGAAAUGUUAUGAGUUGUUUUUUGAUUGUGAGUGCCUUUCUCACUAUGUCACCCAGACAUAAACCUUGAACCCAUGGACAAGCUGACCCCAAAACCUUCACUAAAAAAACGACAUUUCACCCAAGGAAAUACAUGCAUUAUCCUAAGUACCCCUUCUAUCUUAUACCUGCAGAUGGCAACCCUUUACGAGUCUUUUCUCAAGGGCCCAGAAACGAUCAUGACCCUAACUAGUGAUCAGGAUUACCCAAAGAUCCUCAAGGACAUGAUGAAGCAUAUUCAUCUUGAAGGAGAUGCAGUCUACAAGGGUUAUCCUUUCAUGGAGAAUGGAGUUGAACUUUGGUACGUGGAGGUACACCUCCAUCGUGUGAAGGGAGUUUUCCCAAAGAGUAUGGGGCAAUACUUUUUCAUUUCUCGAGUACCCCGAGCAACAUUCUUCGACUCUGUUCGUGAAACUGCUAUGGAAGCCAUACGUCAGAUAGGAGAAAUACUUGAAGCCAGACUUCGUUAUACUCAGGAAUACCCGAGGGAGGUGCAUGCAAAGAUGAUGGAGAUGAAGCUCAUGGCCACCAUGAUGAAGCAAAAGGUCGAUGAUUUCAAGGACCACAUUGUACAAUUCCAGUGGGACUAAAUUAUCUUCAAGAAGGGCAAAUGAAUAAAGAUGGAAGUAAUGCUUGACCAUAGCAAACUAUGUGGAUGGCAGCUUUUUGUAAUAGAGUACUUUUGAAAUUUGAGUUUUGAGUAGUGGUUAAGGAUGUAAUAAAGGAUUUGAUAUGAAGAGAAUUAUGGAUGAACCAGUGCAUUUUUUGGCGAUACCUGUCUGUGCGAACACUUGACCAAUGGAAAAGGAAAUGUAUUCCAUAGAGUGAAGUUUGGACAAAUGAGUUGGAGUUUGGUUUUAGUUAUGAUGGUUACCCCAAGAGUAUGAAGGAAUGAAGUACUAUUGGAUUUAAAGGAGAUGUAAUGUUGGAAUAUGGAACAAUAGUAACUCCAAGGAUGAGUUAAAGAUAUACAAGUGUUGAAGUGGGCCAUAACCCACAGGACCCAGGAUUUGAUAAGGAAACAAGCACAAUCUUGUUGAAGAAAAUAAUUCUGAAAGAAGCCAUGAUUUCAUCAGCAUACGUUUCAUAGGAGGUUACAUAAACCCAGGAGUUGUGAAUAAACGAUAGAGGUUUUCUUUGGCUUGCAGAACCAAUGGAUUUAUCCGAACCCAGUUCGUGGAGAAGAGAAGUUUUGCAAUGCUUGUGAGGAUGCCCAAGGGCUAGAAUGCGUGAUUCACUAUCUACGUAUGUGGUAAUGAUUCAAGUACGACAUGGAUUGGCCCCCAUACCGGAGACUUCUAUCAUGAGCUAUCAUAUGAUUGAUAGAAAAUCAGAGAGCCUUAAAACCCUAGAAGAGUGUCGACACGACAAGCCAAAAGCCUUAGAAUGGCAGGAUGAUGGAAACCCUGUACAGGCACCUAUUGCCUACCGUAGGUUAUGCGGUGAGGUUCAACCCAGACCCAUUUCCUGUAGGAGGAACCAGAAAUUGUCGACCACCAUCAGGUUUUCGAUAGUUGUUUAGCAUUGGCGCCAGACCUGUCAAGUCUCAGAAGGAUCCUAUUUUGAUGCAAGGAAUCCUGAUAUUGAGGAAAAGGCCAUGCCCUUACCAGAAGAGCAAAAGUGAAGGGGUUAUCUCAGAGAAUAUGAGAAGACCGACACCGUCAACGCAAAGGAUGGAGUUCAUGAGUUUUAUUGGAACUGUAACCAUGCUUCUAAGGGUGGUAGCACCCCAUUCCUUGUGUUGAUGAAUGGAUUUUCAAGGAGAACCCCCAAACCUAACAUUCUUUCUAGCCUCUUCGAAUCUCGAGGACGAUAUUCAUUUUAAGGGUGGUAGUUUGUAACAUCCCAAAAUUCUAAAUUCUGGAAUGUUAUGUUAAAUAAUUAAUUAUGAUUGUUUGUUUGUUGUGUGAUUGAUUGUGUGAAAAUGAUUGGAAAUUGAAAACUUUUUGAAAGUAGAAUGAGAGGGAAUAAAAGGACUUUCCCGAAACUUUUCAUCUUGCAUUUUGAUCUUCCUGAAUUCAAAUUCAUUUCAUCAUAAAACCCUAGAGUGAAGAUAAUAUGACUUCUUCCAUUUAAAGAAAUGAAAAAAGGGGUUUGAAAAUGAUUUGAAUUCCAUUUGAAAAAUUUUAAAUUUUGAAACUUUAAGCAACUCAAUGAGUACAUGAGGGAAGAUAAAAUGACUUCUUCAGAUCGAUGGAAGAGAGUUGGAAGUUUCAAAGGAAUAAUUUGAAGUCACUUUGAAGUUAUUUGAAACUCAUUUUUCCAUUUGAAGUUGUUUGAAAUUCCAAAUUUCUAAUCCUCUUGGGAGUUAUUUAGUUUUAAUUCAAAUUAUUUUUCCCCUAAAAAUAAAUAGAUGGGAAUAAGGGUAAAUUGAUUCCCUUCAAUAGAAAAUUAGGAGAAAUAUAUCUGAAAUCAUUUUGCUAUUUUAAAAAUGAUUUUUAUUGAUUUUAAAUGCAAUAGUAGCACUGUUUGAAUUUUAUGAAUUUUUAUGGAAUUUAGUUGAACUUGAAAAAUAAUUCAUCUUAUUGCUACUAUUUUUCUGAGCAUUUUGGUAUAUAAUAUUCCUACGUAAAUUUUUUAGUUAUUUUCCUAUGUUGAAGUUUUUGUUUCUGCAAAAAAAAACAUGCGCCCGCCAGCCGGCCCAGGGCCUUCGGCCCAAGAGCCAGCCAGCGUACCGAGCCGGCCCAGCAGCGCCCCAGGCCGCCCGAGGCCUUACGCCUCGCUCGCGCGCGCCCCUCUUCCCUCGCUCGCUCUCUCCCACUACCGCUGCCAGUGGGGCCCGCAACCCUCCGUCCCUAACCUCCCGCUCCUCCCCUUCAGAUAGGGCACGCGCGUGCUGCCCGCAACUGCCGGCAGCUCCGCUCGGGAUAGAGCUCAUCCGCAGUCUCCGCAGCCUCUUCUUGAGCCUAUAAAUUCCCCCGACUCCCCUCGUUCGAUUCUGCCAUUCCGCAACGAUCCACGCCGCUCACAGCCGCCGCCUUCGUCGUUUGGAUCUUGCCCGCCGGAGCUACCUCGCCGGUCCGUUCCAUCGUCCGUAAGACUUCCUCGACCCCGUUCUUCUUUGUCAAUUGACUCCCCGCGUCGAGGCGCAUCUGAUUGACAAAAAUUUGCCGCCUAGGUCGUACCAGAGACGUCGCCCCGACGCGCCGUGCUCUUGCCGAAGCACCGGAGCUCCGCCGCCACCCUCCGCUCGUCGCUGGCCACCCCACCGCCCGCCGACCCCACCAGCACCCCGCCCACGCCGCGCCUGACCUCCCCGACCCCUUCGUCGCCGCUGAGGACCACCAGAGACGCCGCCCUGUCCGCCGUCCGCCGCCUGACGCCAACGGCACCGCACCUGUUCGCCGUCCUCGCUCGCUAUGAGCCGCUGAUCCUCGCUCAUUUUUUGUUGUUGUUGUUGUAUUAGAUCGGGUAACCGUGGUUUUAUUAAACCGUGCGGUUUAGUAAAAAACCGGUCUCCGGUUGUCUUUUUAUUUAGCCACGGUAGCCGUUUUAUUUAUUCAGUGGCCGUCCGCCGUUUAGCCUGAGCCGCGAACGCUGCUCAGCCACCCGGAAGCCGCCACGUGGCCAGGGACCUAGUCGUGAAUAAAACUUUCAUAGUCAAGUCCCUGAGUUUUCAAUUUAGCCCCUCAACUUCGAAUGGUUGUAUCUUUUUAACCGUAGCUCCAAAUUCGACGAAACCAGUGGCAAGAUGUUCGCCUCGAUUAGUUUUAUCCAGAGAACCAACUUUGAAAACUUUUGGCCAAAUUCAAAUUUGAAAUUUAUUCAGAUUUGAAUUCAAACUUCAACUGGCCAUAUCUCUUAAACCGUAGCUCCGAUUGGUGUGAUUCUUUUUGCAACGUGUCAUCAUAGCCAAACCCUACCACCUGGACCUUGUCACAAUACUUUUCACACAACUAGAAUCUGUCUAUGAUAGUUUUACUAUUAUGCCAUGCAUGCACUUUAGUACACAUCAUAGUUUUGAACCCCAUGUCACAAGUUGUUUUGCACUUAGGAUAUUUCCAUGCUAGUUAACUGUGUUGAAUGUUCAUUUGGUUUUUCUGAGACUUUGUGCUUUGCAUGUUCUUCUUGGUUCUCUGAAACGAUUGUUGAGAGUGACGAAUAGUUCUAUGAAGUAAAUUUCUGAGAGUGGUAUAAUCUUCAUCAACUAUUACCAGGCAAGUUCACAUUUGACCAUUUUUCCAAUUACCUAUGUUUAUAUUAUGCACUUAGUCCUUUUGUGGUAGGAUUGCAUGGUAGGAUUUAUUGUUACCAGAUGGCUAUGCCGUUACCUAGUAGUUCAUUUGAGGUAGGUAUGAUCUAUACAUCCUUGUCACCACCGUGUAAGUUUAUUUUUGCCUCGCUAAAUGUAGACGUGGUUUGGGAAGCGAACAUGGCGAGACAUGAGUGACAAACUAGUAAUCAAGACCAAGACUUGUAAAUGAACUACCUGGGCGGUAUUUGAUUUGAAUGGUGGUGAAGUACAGUGGGAGCAUGCAUGGUUAAUCCAUGGUGGUGCACCACUAGUGGUUGGCCGCUCAGGCUCAAAGAGAUGAAUCGUAUUCUCAUGUCUAGAAGCUUAUGUGUGCAGCCACAAGCCAAUAUGGGCUCUGGCUUAGUUGAGUAGUUAGUGUGACCCCUUCCGGGAUGGGCUAGCAGAUGUAGAAUGAUGUAGGUGUACCGGCCUAUCCAUGGGUUAAGGGGUGACAUUUUUGAAAGAGUAUGUCUCGGUCAUCCUGUUCUCAAACGCCAGGCAGUGCGAGAACUCCAGGGGAGGCGAUCGAGUCUUGUGGGGAAAAGUGCGCAAACCUCUGUAGAGUGUUUUUUUUGAACUUGACAGUGGGAGAGAACUCCCACUGUAUAUUUUCACAUAUCUAUAUAAAUGGGGUGUUUACAUAGACAUACCACUCACACACAUCCAGCUCCACUCUUGGUGGAACCACCAGGGGUGGGGCAACUACACCAUGGUCACUGCUAUACACUUGUCUCUAAGUAUUUAAAGAGGGAAGAAUAAAACACAGUAUGUCUCAGCUAAGUGUGCCACAAUAUGAAAGCAGGGCAGCUCUACGUGUACCCUGAACUCUAUGUUGCAGAAGUCCCAAGUUCUCUUUGAAUCGAUGGAACCAAGAUGCAAUGCUUGGGGUUACACCUCUGAAGUGUUUAUUGUUUCUUUCCUUCCACAAACUCCAGGUAGUAGUGAAAAAUGCUUCAAUGAAGAAAGGAUUGGGCCAGUUGGGUUGUGCGUUUUGCAACGCAUCAAACCUAUUUUGAAAAUCAAUCCAGUGAACACCUAUCUUGGCCCAACACCUUUCGCUGAACUGGCAGGUGAAGAUCAUAUGCUCGAGAGUCUCAUCUGCAUUUUGCCCACAAAGGAGACAUGUGAUGUCAUUCCCAAUGUCAUAGUGUCUUCUUCUCAGCAUGUCACAUGUGUUCAACCUGUCGUGCAGUAGCAACCAUCCAAAUACUUUGAUUUUCAUCAUACAGUUUGAUUUCCAAAGGAGCGGGAAGAUGGGAUGAGCUGUUGCAUCACGGGAGAAGUUGUUAUAGUAGUCUUUUGGCUUGUACCCAGCUGUCCCCCAAGCAUAGAGCCAAACAUCAGAUAUUGUUGUGGAUGGGUGUAUGCGGAAUGCUGCAUGUUGGACAUCUUGCACCUCGUUGAGCGCACGAGCAGACAGCGGUAGGUGAAAGGUUUCAUGCAGUUCAGUGUUGGCCCAGAAGUCAGCGACCGUCAUGUCUUCCUGCAGAGCAAAUGAAAAGGCACGCGGGUGCGAUGUUUGUAGCACAUCAUUUGACCACAAGUCUUUCCAGAGCAGCGUAGUCGAGCCAUCAACUACUUGGACACGAGUGAUCCCUCGGUAGAUGGGCGUUAAUUUGAGAAUGUCUUUCCACCAGAAAGAACCGACUAGAUCAACCGCAUGAGGCACCUGGUUAGCAUACUGAUUAUCCCAAAGCAUAGUAACCCAUGGUACGUCCAGUUUGUUAUAGAACUUGUGGAGAAAUUUUAGCAGGAGGGCUUCGUUGUAGAUUGUAAUGUUGAUCACUCCUAACCCACAUUUACACUUGGGCUUGCACACUAGUUCCCAAGCCGCAAGCGAAUUACAUUUGUCACCUUGGUCGGUUUUCUUUGUCCAGAGACAUCUCCUUCUAAUCUUGUCAAGAAUUUCAAUUAGAUUCGGAGGGAACUUGAGCGUGCACAUGGCAAACACCAGAAGGGAUGUGACCGAUGCAUUGAGCCAGGAGAGGCGGCCCCCAUAGGACAUCAUAGCGAUCGUGGCAGUGAGACGAUGCUCCAUUUUGCAAACUAGAGGCAUGAAUUCUUGAAUGGUUGGUCUUGUAGUGCCAAGUGGCAGGCCAAGGUAGGUGAAAGGCAUUGUACCUAUAGUGCAGCCAAAAUGGCAGCAAGGCUAGAGGUUGCACUUGCGUCCAGGUUGAUUGGUAUGAGCGUCGACUUGUGAAAGUUAAUUUUGAGGCCAAUAGAGGAUGCAUAGUCAGAGAGAAUGUUCUUGACACGGGCAGCCUGUUAUGGGCAAGCAGGCAAGACAAGGAGGGUGUCGUCCGCAUAUUGGAUCACUGGGUAAUCAUUUUGCCCAUUGCAUGGAAAAGGCAGGCUGAUAUCUCCAUGUCGAUAAGCAUCAUUGCCGUGGCUUGAAGUAGUUCAGCUGCCAGGACGAAAAUGAGGGGGGACAGAGGAUCACCUUGCCGCACACCGCAUCGACAAAGGAACUGUCGGCCUGGGACCCCAUUAAGAAGUUUGGACGAGCGACCCGAGGAGAAGAGGCACUUGAUCCAGGAGAUCCACUUGUCAUUGAAACCCAUCUGCUGCAUAAUGCAAAUCAUUGGUUCAUGCGUGAUGGUAUCGAAUGCUUUGGCGAAAUCAAGUUUAAGAAUAAUGAUUGGCCGGCCCAAGUUUUGACAGUGAUAAAGAUAUUGAUAAUCUCAUGCCAGACAAUUCUGUAUAGUAUGCCCUUUAAUGAACCCAUACUGAUUCCGGUGAAUGAGGGUGAGAAUGACAAGUUGAAGUCUGUCUGCUAGCAGUUUGGUAAUCAACUUGAGGCAGCAGUUGAGCAAUGUAAUGAGUCUGAAAUCAUUGACUGUUUCUGGAGAGUUAGUCUUAGGUAUAAGUGUGAUAAGACCAUCAUUGAUACUUGUGACAUCUAACGUACCUUCAUAGAACCGAUCACAUAGGGUGUAAAAGUCAUGUCGAAUGAUGGGCCAGCAGGCUUUCAAAAACGCCCCACUAAAGCCAUCUGGGCCAGGUGCGUGGUCCGGAGGCAUACCUUUGACCACAUUAUCGAUUUCCUCAUGUGAAAAAGGCGUGGUAAGUUGGUCAAGAUUUGUAGCGCAGGGGAUAAUGUUUGGAAGAUCAAAUUUCAUGUCUGAAGGGGAGACCGUACCCAGGCGGUUUUUGUAAGUUUGAAACAAGAGGGCCUCUUUUGCAGGAUGAUUGUCGACCAAUGUGCCAUCCUCAAGCUUGAGUGAGGAGAUAUUGUUUUGUCGAUAACGUUCCCUGGCCACUGCUUGGAAAAAUUUGGAGUUUUCAUCGCCAAACUUGAUCCAACGAAUAGUACAACGCUUCUUCCAAUAAAGUUUUUGAUAUUUGAGCAGUCUCAGCAAGUGUGACUUUAGGAUACGUUUGAAGUUCAUUUCUGGAAUUGAAAGGAUUCGUUUAUUCUGCCAGGACAUGGUUACAGUUCGUGAUGGCCACUAAUAGACGAGAAAUAUUCUUACUCCAGAUUUUGAGAGCGUGUCGAAGAGCUUUGAAUUUUCGGCAAGGGAUUGUGGCAGCAUUUGCGUUCCAAACUGGCCAUUCCCAAACCUCUCUAACUAUGUCCAUAAACCCUGGGUGUAAGGUCCAGUAGGAUUCAAAACGAAAGAGCUUGGAUCGGGGGAUUUUGGUCUCUAUGGUGACAAUGCAAGGGAUGUGAUCAGAAACGGGCUUGCCAAGGGGUUUAACGAGCAUCUUAGGAUAUGUGUUACUCCAAUGCAAGGAUGUGAAGAACCAGUCAAUCUGUUCAAGCAAAGGAUCGGUCUGCAUAUUGCUCCAAGUGUAGGUUCUACCUUUUACCGGAAGCUCAAUCAGUUGCUGCUGACGAAUGAUGUCAUUGAACGUAAUCAUGUCGUGAAUGUUACCCCCAGGUUUAUUAUGAUUGUCUGGAGCUCUCAUGUAGUUAAAGUCGCCCAAAAGUAACCAGUCUUGGUUACGGGGUAUUUGAACAUCGUACAACCAUUGCGUGAAAACAUCCCUGUCUGUACCAGUGCAAGGCCCGUACACGUUAACUAACGUCCAACGUUGAGAGGAUUGCAUGCUAACGAACUCGAUGGCUAGCGCAAAUGGAUCAGAUGAGAGUACUGAACCAGAGAAAACCGAGCUUUUCCAGAUUGUAAGUAACCCCCAGAGGCGCCGCGCGAAGGGACAAAAGCAAAACGAUCAAAUUGUCUAGGAUAGCAAGUUUUAAUAGAAGCAAAAGUAACCUCAGGCAUCUUAGUCUCCUGAAGACAAGUGAUAGCAAAACCACUGGUAGAGAUAGCAUUAUUCAGAGCCAGUCGCUUCUUCUCAGAAUUGAGCCCACGGAUAUUCCAUGAGAGCACAUUCCAGCAGCUCAACGACGUCAUAUAGAACUCCAAUAUUAAGCAGAGGUGUGAGAGAGAUCCUCUCCCUGGUCAUCACUGUCAAUCAAAGAGGCAGAAUAUUCGGGCACGACAGCAGUUUCAGCAAGCAGGGCUUCUUCAGAAAGUUCAGUAGCAGGUAUAGCACAUCUGUUAACUCCAAUGGAUUGUAGAGUAACUAUAGGAGUUGGGGGCGGGACCUCACCAGCAGAAGUAGCAGCAGAUGCUGAUGUGCCAAUAGACGGGAUGACACAGGGCUUAACUUUGGAAUUGUUCUUGCGACUGUCAGAGAGGGGAGGAACCUUGACCGCAUCAUACGUGUUGGAGCGGAGACUGCGACGCACUUCAGUUGUGGAGAUAGGGGCAGCAGCCCUGGUCCUACGGGGGCGCGGGCCAGUGGUGGCCAUAGAAGCAGUUGCCUCUGAGAUCACAGAAGGUUCUGAAGGUGGAAUGUGCACAACUUGUUCUGUGUCCAUUGGGGCGUCUUAAGUGUUGGGCGGCAUGGCGGGCUCAAUGGCGUUUUCCACACUAGCAUGUUCAGAUAGGUCCUCAAUGAUCACAGCGGAGGCAGCCAAAGCAGAAGUAGAGCUUGAUUGCUAGGAAAAGGUCAGACUAGUAGAAUCCUGUGUGAUCAAGACAGACAACUGGACCUGGUUUGUUCUCAGACCAAACCCCUCUCUCCAAGGUCCAAAAGUUGCAAGCAUUGGGCUAACAGCUUGGAAGAUGAAUGUGUUAAGAUUCAGGCGUGGGAUUGGGUCAUUCAGCAGCCUGGAAAGGAUCUCAUCUCCUUGAGCAGAUAAACCAAAUCUGACACCUUGAUCAUUGAUCUCCAGUGUGAUGUUAAGAGAUUCAAAGCUUGCACUGUCAGACAGCUGUAUAGCUGGAUCAGCCGGGAUGAGAAUGUCAGACUGGGUCGAGCUUGAACUGUCAGACUGGGUGAUCGAAUCAUUCCAAGCUUGGAGAGCAUUAUCAGUGACAUUGUUUUCAGGGACUAACCCAUGUUGCACAGUCAGACCCUGCGCAGCAAGCCAGGCUUGGUAGUUCACCAAAUGGAGCGGCAUUUGCGGGAGUGGAGGAGCAGCGGGCGCCUCCCAAGUGCCCCAUCCAGUGUUGUCAUCCACUUGUUGAGCCUCAUUGUUGCCAGCUGCGGGUGCACCAUUCUGAAUGAGCCAAUUGUGAACUUGCUGCUGAUAUAACUGUUCUGCAGUGAGUUCAGGGCCAAACUGUGGAUGUGGGUUGCCAUCGGGGGGUGGCAUUUCCUCAGGUGCAGCAGGUACAUCAGGGAGGAGGCCAUUCCAGUCGUUGCUGCGACGGAUGGUCACUACUACUGUCCAACUGUCGUGCGCACCACCCAGCUGCCAUACCACAAAGCUCUUGGGGAUGAGGCGCAGACUAAGUACUCUGACUUUUAGAAGGAUGAAUCUGCGGUCCUGACGCGGAUUAUACCAGGAAACUAAGGAACCAUAUCCACCCAAGGCCUUAGUGAUGUAAUAGUCCAUUUGGUAGUCAUACGGAAAGCCGAAGAACAUAAUCCAAAUCUCAGGCCCAAACGGUGCAGCUCUACGAUUAAGAGCCGCAUUGUGCGAAACGAAGGUGAUCAACAGAUCUUCAUCUUCAAGCUCAAGCGGUGUGUUGACAACAUUAUCUCUCAUAAAGGAAUCCACAAAACCGAAAAUCCCAACACCAAGGGGGUGAUCACUGACCUCUGUAGUAAAAAGCUGUGAUUCUUGAAACAGAGUUGUGAUCCGAUGGCGGACGGUGGCCCGGCGAUGCAGGGGCACAUACUCACUGGCUUCUGCAAUGGCCAGGAACUCAUGGCUGAGUGGAGCAAUCGAGCCAACGACCAUGCCGCUGUGCACAAGAUGAUCGGCCGGCCCUGGCUCACCCGCAAAACCCGGCGGGAGGAAAGGCACAGGGUUUAGUGGGUAGUUCGCCAUUGUGGUGGAAGGGAUCAGAGGGGAGGACGGUGGUGCAGUGAUGGGAUGUAACUGCAAUGGCGCAAGCUGCAGCAAAGCGUCAGACUGUGGCGAUGGGACUGGACGGGAUGUGGCCCGUUGGGUUCUCGAGGAGGAAGCUGAAGCGUGAAUGGGGGUAGGAGGCAAAGUUGCCUUUGCAACCUCUGUAGAGAGUUAAAACCUAAUCGAUUAGCCGUGUCCCCGGUUACAGACAACUUGAGCAUCUAGUAGUGGAAAUGAUGGGAGAUCUCAUCACUCUUAAUUAAACAGUUGGGUUUUAAAUGAAACAUUGGGAAUGGAUUGAGUUGUGUUUGCCAACUCAUACUAUGCUAUACUGUAGUGAUAGACUAAUAUCUUUUAUUCUAGGGAAAAACUAGCUUUAUGCAAAAACUAAACUUAGAGCUUUCCACCAGCCAAAUUGCAUGUACAAAUAGGUUCAUUAUUCUUAUGAUGUGACUUGCCAGUACAUUCAAUGUACUGACCUAUAGGGCUGCAACGUCUUAUGUUGCAGGAAUUUCUACGACGAGUAAGAAUUAUGUUGUAGGGUUAUGGUCUACACUCAACUUGCCGUUGGCGUUGAUGGGACUCCACACCCGUUCGAUUGUUUCCACUGAGAUUUAUGAGGUAUAUAUCAGUUUUGCAUUAUUUAUACAUUUGAUUGAACUUUGAUAUAUACAUUGAUGUACUGUGUGUGCCAGCAUAUCGAUCCAGGGAUGGCCCGGAUACACAGAGGCUUGACAGUUUGAGCUCGGGUCGCUACAGAGAUGGUAUCAGAGCACAUGUUGACUAUAGGACGUGACCCUAGAAACUGGAAAGCCCUUAGGAAAAGAUUUCUCUAAAAGUUUAUUUUCAAAAAGAUCCUUUACCUCUCUUCUUUUCUGAGCUUUAUCAAAUCUUUCCUUUUACCCCAAAUAGGUAGGCAAUAUCCCUUUUCCCUUUCACCACGCGGAGGAUCAACUGAUGAGACCACUCCAAGAAGGGCAAGAUAUCGGCCAACUGAUGGCCACUUCAAAGUAAAGAGGAUUUCAUCAUGCAUUAGAACAGUUAAUGCUACGACAGUCGAAGACUCGAAGAAUUUGAAGACACUGAAGAAUUCCAAGAUUUAUAUGACCUUUAGAAGACCAAACCCUUGUUGUGUACUCACGUUAGAUGCGAUGAUUUGUGAGCUGUCAUAUUUGGUGUGUGUUUUCCGAUGCAAUAAAUAAAACUUAUUUUCAAAACUAUAUUGUUUGUAUUUUGUGUAUCUUUCUCUAUCCCUCUUAUCUCAUCCCAAAACCCUUGGACCCAAUAGAUGAUGAAUGAAGAUGGACUUGUAUUCUCUGGACCGAUCACUCGGUUAGAGGAAGAGCUAUGGAUUCAAAACAUGGAGAGUCACUUCGAGAGCAAUUUGGUUGCAAGGAAGUAUGAGGUUCAAUAUGCUCUUUAAUACUUUACAAAAAGUGCUACAACAUGGUGGAAAAUGCAUCAAGCCAUACAAGGAUGUAAUGGAGCAAAAACUUGGGAGGAAUUGAAGAAGACUCUAUUGGGAUCCCGUCUUAUCCGGAAGCACGGUGAUAAACUGAUGAAGAAACCUUGUGCCUGCAAGAUAUGUGGAGAAAUAGGACACACCCAUGAAGAACACAAGGAUGGAUGCCCUCAUUAUGAAGGAAAUCACCCAGCAGAAGAGUGCCCAACUAGGCAGGUUACUUGUUUCUUGUGUGAAGGAACUACGCACUACCCUGCCCAGUGUCAUAUUUACCCCAGGGUACAAGAAAUUACCAAGAAGAAGUGGGGUUUGAUCGACAAGAGAUAGAAGAAUUGAUCGGAAUGAAGAAGUCGAGGAAGAGAAAGAGCAUGUAUCCCCAGAACAACCCAGUUUCUACAGAAAAGGACCUGAGUCAUAUCACUUGUUACAGCUGCAAGGAUUUAGCUCAUUAUUCUAGCAAAUGCCCACCAAGGAAGCCAAGAACCCAAGGAGCCAAGAUAACCACCAGGAACCCCUGGAUUUGUCUGACGCCAUUUGUUUACGCUGCAAAGGAGUAGGACAUUUUGUCAGAGAAUGUUCAGACCCGAGGAAAGCUUGAGCAGAGUAGUUGAGAUCUUGAUAUUGGAAUAAAGCAUGUAAUAAAUGUGGAACGCACUUUUAUUUUCGUGGGGGGUGUUGAUACGUCUCCAACGUAUCUAUAAUUUUUGAUUGCUCCAUGCUAUAUUAUCUACUGUUUUGGACUAUAUUGGGCUUUAUUUUCCACUUUUAUAUUAUUUUUGGGACUAACCUAUUAACCGGAGGCCCAGCCCAGAAUUACUGUUUUUUUGCCUAUUUCAGUGUUUUGGAUAAACGGAAUAUCAAACGGAGUCCAAACGGAAUAAAAUCUUCGGGAACGUGAUUUUCUCACCGAACGUGAUCCAUGAGACUUGGACCUUGCUCUAAGGAACAAAAGAGGCGGUCACGAGGGUGGGGGGUGCCCCCCCUAGGGCGCGCCCCCUGCCUCGUGGGCCCCUCGUUGCUCCUUCGGCGUACUUCUUCCUCCUAUAUAUACACAUGUACCCCCAAACGAUCAGAAGAGGAGCCAAAAACCUAAUUCCACCGCCGCAACUUUCUGUAUCAGAAGAGAUCCCAUCUUGGGGCCUGUUCCGGAGCUCUGCCAGAAGAGGGCCGUCAUCACGGAGGGCUUCUACAUCAUCCUAGCCCCUCUGAUGAAGUGUGAGUUGUUUACCUCAGACCUUCGGGUCCAUAGUUAGUAGCUAGAUGGCUUCUUCUCUCUCUUUGAAUCUCAAUACAAAGUUCUCCCCCUCUCUUGUGGAGAUCUAUUCGAUGUAAUCUUCUUUUUGCGGUGUGUUUGUUGAGACCGAUGAAUUGUGGGUUUAUGAUCAAGUCUAUCUAUGAAUAAUAUUUGAAUCUUCUCUGAAUUCUUUUAUGUAUGAUUGGUUAUCUAUGCAACUCUCUUCGAAUUGUCCGUUUGGUUUGGCCAACUAGAUUGGUAGUUCUUGCCAUGGGAGAACUGCUUAGCUUUGGGUUCGAUCUUGUGGUGUCCUUACCUAGUGACAGAAGGGGCAGCAAGGCACGUAUUGUAUCGUUGCCAUCGAGGAUAAAAAGAUGGGGUUUAUUUCAUAUUGCAUGAAUUUAUCUCUCUACAUCAUGUCAUCUUGCUUAAGGCGUUACUCUGUUUUUAACUUAAUACUCUAGAUGCAUGCUGGAUAGCGGUCGAUGAGUGGAGUAAUAGUAGUAGAUGCAGAAUCGUUUCGAUCUACAUGUCACGGACGUGAUGCCUAUAUACAUGAUCAUGCCUAGAUAUUCUCAUAACUAUGCUCAAUUCUGUCAAUUGCUCAAUAGUAAUUUGUUCACCCACCGUAGAAUACUUAUGCUCUUGAGAGAAGCCACUAGUGAAACCUAUGGCCCCCGGGUCUAUUCUCAUCAUAUCAAUCUCCAUCACUUUAAAUCUUGCUUUGUUUUUACUUUGCUUUUACUUUUUAAUUUGCAUCUUUAUACCAAAAAUACCAAAAAUAUUAUAUCUAUCAGAUCUCAUUCUCGUAAGUGACCGUGAAGGGCUUGACAACCCCUAAUCGCGUUGGUUGCGAGUAGCUAUCGCUUUGUGCAGGUACGAGGGACUUGAGCGUGGGCUCCUACUGGAUUGAUACCUUGGUUCUCAAAAACUGAGGGAAAUACUUACGCUACUGUGCUGCAUCAUCCCUUCGUCUUCGGGGAAAACCAACGCUAGCUCAAGAUGUAGCAGGUGUUGAGUUGAGUUACCGAAUGGAAAUUGUAAUAGCUCAUGAAGCAAUAAAAAUUGAGGUGUUUGGAAUCUCAUAUGAAAUGUUAUGAGUUGUUUGUUGAUUGUGAGUGCCUCUCUCACUAUGUCACCCAGACAUAAACCUUGAACCCAUGGACAAGCUGACCCCAAAACCUUCACUAAAAAAACGACAUUUCACCCAAGGAAAUACAUGCAUUAUCCUAAGUACCCCUUCUAUCUUAUACCUGCAGAUGGCAACCCUUUACGAGUCUUUUCUCAAGGGCCCAGAAACGAUCAUGACCCUAACUAGUGAUCAGGAUUACCCAAAGAUCCUCAAGGACAUGAUGAAGCAUAUUCAUCUUGAAGGAGAUGCAGUCUACAAGGGUUAUCCUUUCAUGGAGAAUGGAGUUGAACUUUGGUACGUGGAGGUACACCUCCACCGUGUGAAGGGAGUUUUCCCAAAGAGUAUGGGGCAAUACUUUUUCAUUUCUCGAGUACCCCGAGCAACAUUCUUCGACUCUGUUCGUGAAACUGCUAUGGAAGCCAUACGUCAGAUUGGAGAAAUACUUGAAGCCAGACUUCGUUAUACUCAGGAAUACCCGAGGGAGGUGCAUGCAGAGAUGAUGGAGAUGAAGCUCAUGGCCACCAUGAUGAAGCAAAAGGUCGAUGAUUUCAAGGACCACAUUGUACAAUUCCAGUGGGACUAAAUUAUCUUCAAGAAGGGCAAAUGAAUAAAGAUGGAAGUAAUGCUUGACCAUAGCAAACUAUGUGGAUGGCAGCUUUUUGUAAUAGAGUACUUUUGAAAUUUGAGUUUUGAGUAGUGGUUAAGGAUGUAAUAAAGGAUUUGAUAUGAAGAGAAUUAUGGAUGAACCAGUGCAUUUUUUGGCGAUACCUGUCUGUGCGAACACUUGACCAAUGGAAAAGGAAAUGUAUGCCAUAGAGUGAAGUUUGGACAAAUGAGUUGGAGUUUGGUUUUAGUUAUGAUGGUUACCCCAAGAGUAUGAAGGAAUGAAGUACUAUUGGAUUUAAAGGAGAUGUAAUGUUGGAAUAUGGAACAAUAGUAACUCCAAGGAUGAGUUAAAGAUAUACAAGUGUUGAAGUGGGCCAUAACCCACAGGACCCAGGAUUUGAUAAGGAAACAAGCACAAUCUUGUUGAAGAAAAUAAUUCUGAAAGAAGCCAUGAUUUCAUCAGCAUACGUUUCAUAGGAGGUUACAUAAACCCAGGAGUUGUGAAUAAACGAUAGAGGUUUUCUUUGGCUUGCAGAACCAAUGGAUUUAUCCGAACCCAGUUCGUGGAGAAGAGAAGUUCUGCAAUGCUUGUGAGGAUGCCCAAGGGCUAGAAUGCGUGAUUCACUAUCUGCGUAUGUGGUAAUGAUUCAAGUACGACAUGGAUUGGCCCCCAUACCGGAGACUUCUAUCAUGAGCUAUCAUAUGAUUGAUAGAAAAUCAGAGAGCCUUAAAACCCUAGAAGAGUGUCGACACGACAAGCCAAAAGCCUUAGAAUGGCAGGAUGAUGGAAACCCUGUACAAGCACCUAUUGCCAACCGUAGGUUAUGCGGUGAGGUUCAACCCAGACCCAUUUCCUGUAGGAGGAACCAGAAAUUGUCGACCACCAUGAGGUUUUCGAUAGUUGUUUAGCAUUGGCGCCAGACCUGUCAAGUCUCAGAAGGAUCCUAUUUUGAUGCAAGGAAUCCUGAUAUUGAUGAAAAGGCCAUGCCCUUACCAGAAGAGCAAAAGUGAAGGGGUUAUCUCAGAGAAUAUGAGAAGACCGACACCGUCAACGCAAAGGAUGGAGUUCAUGAGUUUUAUUGGAACUGUAACCAUGCUUCUAAGGGUGGUAGCACCCCAUUUCUUGUGUUGAUGAAUGGAUUUUCAAGGAGAACCCCCAAACCUAACAUUCUCUCUAGCCUCUUCGAAUCUCGAGGACGAUAUUCAUUUUAAGGGUGGUAGUUUGUAACAUCCCAAAAUUCUAAAAUUUGGAAUGUUAUGUUAAAUAAUUAAUUAUGAUUGUUUGUUUGUUGUGUGAUUGAUUGUGUGAAAAUGAUUGGAAAUUGAAAACUUUUUGAAAGUGGAAAGAGAGGGAAUAAAAGGACUUUCCCGAAACUUUUCAUCUUGCAUUUUGAUCUUCCUGAAUUCAAAUUCAUUUCAUCAUAAAACCCUAGAGUGAAGAUAAUAUAACUUCUUCCAUUUAAAGAAAUGAAAAAAGGGGUUUGAAAAUGAUUUGAAUUCCAUUUGAAAAAUUUUAAAUUUAGAAACUUUAAGCAACUCAAUGAGUACAUGAGGGAAGAUAAAAUGACUUCUUCAGAUCGAUGGAAGAGAGUUGGAAGUUUCAAAGGAAUAAUUUGAAGUCACUUUGAAGUUAUUUAAAACUCAUUUUUCCAUUUGAAGUUGUUUGAAAUUCCAAAUUUCUAAUCCUCUUGGGAGUUAUUUAGUUUUAAUUCAAAUUAUUUUUCCCCUAAAAAUAAAUAGAUGGGAAUAAGGGUAAAUUGAUUCCCUUCAAUAGAAAAUUAGGAGAAAUAUAUCUGAAAUCAUUUUCCUAUUUUAAAAAUGAUUUUUAUUGAUUUUAAAUGCAAUAGUAGCACUGUUUGAAUUUUAUGAAUUUUUAUGGAAUUUCGUUGAACUUGAAAAAUAAUUCAUCUUAUUGCUGCUAUUUUUCUGAGCAUUUUGGUAUAUAAUAUUCCUACAUAAUUUUUUUAGUUAUUUUCCUAUGUUGAAGUUUUUGUUUCUACAAAAAAAAACAUGCGCCCGCCAGCCGGCCCAGGGCCUUCGGCCCAAGAGCCAGCCAGCAUACCGAGCCGGCCCAGCAGCGCCCCAGGCCGCCCGAGGCCUUACGCCUCGCUCGCCCGCGCCCCUCUUCCCUCGCUCGCUCUCUCCCACUGCCGCUGCCAGUGGGGCCCGCAACCCUCCGUCCCUAACCUCCCGCUCCUCCCAUUCAGAUAGGGCACGCGCGUGCUGCCCGCAACUGCCGGCAGCUCCGCUCGGGAUAGAGCUCAUCCGCAGUCUCCGCAGCCUCUUCUUGCACCUAUAAAUUCCCCCGACUCCCCUCGUUCGAUUCUGCAAUUCCGCAACGAUCCACGCCGCUCACAGCCGCCGCCUUCGUCGUUUGGAUCUUGCCCGCCGGAGCUACCUUGCCGGUCCGUUCCAUCGUCCGUAAGACUUCCUCGACCCCGUUCUUCUUUGUCAAUUGACUCCCCGCGUCGAGGCGCAUCUGAUUGACAAAAAUUUGCCGCCUAGGUCGUACCAGAGACGUCGCCCCGACGCGCCGUGCUCUUGCCGAAGCACCGGAGCUCCGCCGCCACCCUCCGCUCGUCGCUGGCCACCCCACCGCCCGCCGACCCCACCAGCACGCCGCCCACGCCGCGCCUGACCUCCCCGACCCCUUCGUCGCCGCUGAGGACCACCAGAGACGCCGCCCUGUCCGCCGUCCGCCGCCUGACGCCAGCGGCACCGCACCUGUUCGCCGUCCUCGCUCGCUAUGAGCCGCUGAUCCUCGCUCAUUUUUUGUUGUUGUUGUUGUAUUAGAUCGGGUAACCGUGGUUUUAUUAAACCGUGCGGUUUAGUAAAAAACCGGUCUCCGGUUGUCUUUUUAUUUAGCCACGGUAGCCGUUUUAUUUAUUCAGUGGCCGUCCGCCGUUUAGCCUGAGCCGCGAACGCUGCUCAGCCACCCGGAAGCCGCCACGUGGCCAGGGACCUAGUCGUGAAUAAAACUUUCAUAGUUAAGUCCCUGAGUUUCCAAUUUAGCCCCUAAACUUCGAAUGGUUGUAUCUUUUUAACCGUAGCUCCAAAUUCGACGAAACCAGUGGCAAGAUGUUCGUCUUGAUUAGUUUUAUCCAGAGAACCAACUUUGAAAACUUUUGGCCAAAUUCAAAUUUGAACUUUAUUCAGAUUUGAAUUCAAACUUCAACUGGCCAUAUCUCUUAAACCGUAGCUCCGAUUGGUGUGAUUCUUUUUGCAACGUGUCAUCAUAGCCAAACCCUACCACCUGGACCUUGUCACAAUACUUUUCACACAACUAGAAUCUGUCUAUGAUAGUUUUACUAUUAUGCCAUGCAUGCACUUUAGUACACAUCAUAGUUUUGAACCCCAUGUCACAAGUUGUUUUGCACUUAGGAUAUUUCCAUGCUAGUUAACUGUGUUGAAUGUUCAUUUGGUUUUUCUGAGACUUUGUGCUUUGCAUGUUCUUCUUGGUUCUCUGAAAUGAUUGCUGAGAGUGACGAAUAGUUCUAUGAAGUAAAUUUCUGAGAGUGGUAUAAUCUUCAUCAACUAUUACCAGGCAAGUUCACAUUUGACCAUUUUUCCAAUUACCUAUGUUUAUAUUAUGCACUUAGUCCUUUUGUGGUAGGAUUGCAUGGUAGGAUUUAUUGUUACCAGAUGGCUAUGCCGUUACCUAGUAGUUCAUUUGAGGUAGGUAUGAUCUAUACAUCCUUGUCACCACCGUGUAAGUUUAUUUUUGCCUCGCUAAAUGUAGACGUGGUUUGGGAAGCGAACAUGGCGAGACAUGAGUGACAAAGUAGUAAUCAAGAUCAAGACUUGUAAAUGAACUACCUGGGCGGUAUUUGGUUUGAAUGGUGGCGAAGUACAGUGGGAGCAUGCAUGGUUAAUCCAUGGUGGUGCACCACUAGUGGUUGGCCGCUCAGGCUCAAAGAGAUGAAUCGUAUUCUCAUGUCUAGAAGCUUAUGUGUGCAGCCACAAGCCAAUAUGGGCUCUGGCUUAGUUGAGUAGUUAGUGUGACCCCUUCCGGGAUGGGCUAGCAGAUGUAGAAUGAUGUAGGUGUACCGGCCUAUCCCUGGGUUAAGGGGGAACAUUUUAGAAAGACUAUGUCUCGGUCAUCCUGUUCUCAAACGCCAGGCAGUGCGAGAACUCCAGGGGAGGCGAUCGAGUCUUGUGGGGAAAAGUGCGCAAACCUCUGCAGAGUGUUAAAAUCUAAUCGAUUAGCCGUGUCACCGGUUACGGACAACUUGAGAAUCUAGUAGUGGAAAUGCUGGGAGAUCUCAUCACUCUUAAUUAAACAGUUGGGUUUUAAAUGAAACUUUGGGAAUGGAUUGAGUUGGGUUUGCCAACUCAUCCUAUGCUAUACUAUAGUGAUAGACUAAUAUCUUUUAUUCUAGGGAAAAACUAGCUUUAUGCAAAAACUAAACUUAGGGCUUUCCACCAGCCAAAUUGCAUGUACAAAUAGGUUCAUUAUUCUUAUGAUGUGAAUUACCAGUACAUUCAAUGUACUGACCUACAGGGCUGCAACGUCUUAUGUUGCAGGAAUUUCUAAGACGAGUAAGAAUUACGUGGUAGGGUUACGGUCUACACUCAACUUGCCAUUGGCGUUGAUGGGACUCUGCGCCCAUUCGAUUGUUUCCCUGAGAUUUAUGAGGUAUAUAUCAGUUUUACGUUAUUUAUACAUGUGAUUGAACUUUGAUAUAUACAUUGAUGUACUGUGUGUGCCAGCAUACCGAUCCAGGGAUGGCACGGAUACACAGAGGCUUGACCGUUUGAGGUCGGGUUGCUACAGCAAAUCAGCUAGAUCUUUCAAGGCAAACUCUGAGAUCAAAUCAUGCAGAAUGGCAUUAGUAGCACUUUGUGAUGAACUUGCAACUAUGAUGCAUCCACAUAUAUGAGAACAAAGAUAACUACUUUUCCCUUGUUAUAAAUGAACAAAGAUGUAUCAGCUUGGAAGCACUAAAACCAAGACAUUUCAAUUGAGAGCUCAACCUGGAGUACCAUGCUUUAGGUGCUUGUUUCAAGCUAUAGAGUGCUUUGUCAAGCUUGCACACAUAAUGUGGUGUUUUCUUACUCUCAUAUCCUGGUGGUUGUCUCAUGAAUACCUCCUCUUCCAGAACACCAUGUAAAAACGCAUUCUGUACAUCUAGCUAUCUCAAGCUCGAUCCCUUGGAUACAGCACUAGCUAACACAAAUCUUAUAGUUGCAGCUUUUACAACCGGACUGAAGGUAUCCUCAUAGUCUAUGCCAUAGCGUUGUUUAAAGCCCUUUGCAACUAGACGUGCCUUAUAUCUGUCAAUGGAGCCAUCUGCUUUCUUUUUAAUUCUAUACACCCACUUGCAAUCAAUAAUAUUUUUACCUCUCUUAUCAGGCACAAGAUGCCAAGUUUUGUUCCUCAUAAGUGCAGAAUAUUCCUCAUCCAUUGCUUUCUUCCAUUUAGGGUCACCAAGUGCAUCAUUCAGUGUCAUUGCUUCCCCUGAAAUACAUAGCAUGCCAUACCGUAUAGUACCAUCAGUUUGUAUUUUGGGAUUAUGGAUACCUUUUUGUAACCUGGUCAUAACUCGCAAGGGAGCUUCUUGUUGCAUGUGUACAGGAACAAGAUCCAUUGGCGCAGAAGAUCCACCUCUUGCUACUGAAUCUGCUGGUGAUGCAGAAGAUCCAUCGGACACUGGCGCAGAAGAUCCACUGGACCUUGGUGUGGCCCCCCUGCCACUGGACGCCCAGGAAACCACAUGGCUUCCAGGCAUAGACGAUCCGCUGCCAGGUUGCAUGUGCGCGGGACGCGAGGAGGAGCCGACCGCGCGACUGGUCCCACUGGGCCCACUAUCGGGUGACGCGUCGGCGUGGGAGUGGCCCUCCCAGGAAUCUGGGCCGCUGCCACCUUGUACGCGAUCCAAGAAAGAUCUGUGCGCACGAUCCGAGGCCUGCAAGAGCGCAGGAGUACCAAGGAAUUCAACUGAUAUGAUUACUCUACUUAUUGAUGUGCAAUAAUGUAAUAUGACUAUUAAGAAGCAUUCUAACUGUGGAGGUGGUUUCACACUUCUUACUACAACAAAGGUGAUUGAAGGAUUCCUCGGCAGAAACUAGAACGCACACCUUCAAUAAUUGACGAGCUAAUUGGUUGUUGAACUUCAUGUUGAAGAUAUCUCAUGUAGGCCCAGGCCGGCGCAUAUAGUUAGUUGAGGAGUUGGUUAGCUUAGAGAUAGACUAUCAUCUAAUUAAACUUUUGUAUCUCUAUCUCCUAAUCUCUUGUACUCCAAGUUAUGUAUGCGUACAUGGGAUAAGCCUCAUCUCAAUCAAUAAAUACCCGCGGCCCUCUCUCGUGGAGGGUAGAACGCUUCCGAUAUAUUUCCUAUAUGGUCAUCAGAGCUUUCUCUUCUCGUCCAAAAACCAGAAAACCUAGAUUGCCAUCCUUCCCACCAUGUCAUCCUCCUCCAACCCCCCGACUCUCUCUGGUCUUGGUUACCAAAUCAGUGAGAAGCUCACCGCUGAGAACUACCUGCUGUGGAAGGCACAUAUCCUCCAGCACUUCCUUGGUGCCGGGCUCUAUGGCUAUCUAGACGACAACAUCGUCGAACCAGAGAAGCUCAUGGUCGCGAAGGACAAGGAUGGAAAGGAUCAAGCGGUCCCCAAUCCGGCGCAUGAUUCUUGGGUGCGGCAGGACCAACAGGUCCUUGGCCACAUCAUCAACAAUCUCUCGAUGGAGGUGCUGGUCUCGGUCGUCUCCAUUGGCGUGAGCUCUCUGGACAUCGAUGCGUAACAUGUUUGCUUCACAAUCUCAUUACCGCAUUAAUAAUAUCCAGAUUUCCCUGUCCAGUGCCUAAAAGGGCAAUCAGCGUCGGCAUACUUUGCUCGGAUGCGCAGAUAUGCUGAUGAACUUGCUGCUACCGGGAGACCUCUGCAAGAGGAUGAGCUCACCUCCUUCCUCCUGGCUGGGCUGGACCUCGACUACAACCCCCUUAUCUCAGCCCUCGACGACCGGACGGAUCCUAUCACCAUCGAUGACUUAUACUCACAGGUCUACAACUUUGAUCAGCGGGUGUCGCUGCUCAUGGGAGGCGUGGGCUUCAAGUCCUCUGCAAACUCUGCCCAGCAUGGUGGGCCACCUCCAUCUCGAGGCUUUGGAAAGCCGAGGGAUCAGAAGAAGCAAGGUGGUGGCGGCGGCUACAAGAAGAAACAAGGUGGCGGUGGGCAUCCCUACUACAUCAACACCAAGGGAGCUCGCUCUGGUGCCCCUGGAGGGCCAGGAGGUCUAGGAGGCCUCGAUGGUCCUCCACCCGCCAACAACCACAAGGGGAACGACCCCAUCCAGUGCCAGAUAUGCAUCAAGUUCGGGCACAGCACCAAGGACUGCUGGUAUCAUUUUGAUGAUGAUGCCCUUGAAUAAAAAGUUGUUGCUGCCACCCAGUAUGGGGUGGAUACAAAGUGGUAUGUUGACAGCGAUGCAACCGGUCAUCUCAUCGGCGAACUAGAGAAGUUGACAGUCCGCGACAAGUAUCGUGGGCAGGGUGAAAUCCAUGGCGCAAACAGAUCAGGUAUGAGGAUAGAUCAUGUUGGUCAUUCAGUUUUUCAAACCCCUAACCGUCCCAUCCAUCUUAAAAGAAUUUUACAUUAUCCUCAUGCCCAAACCAGUCUUCUUUCUGUAAAUCAUAUUGCCUUGGAAAAUCAAGUAUUUCUUGAAUUUCACCCCUUCUACUUUUCGAUCAAGGACCAGGCAACGAGGAGAAUCCUCUACAUAUGUAGAUGCAUUGGUGGGCUCUAUCCAUUGAUUCCUCGCUUUAGGAGUUCAAAUAAACAAGUUCUUGGUCUCACCAAAUUAUCUUCGGCAAGGUGGCACGAUCGAUUUGGGCAUCCUUCUUUUGCUAUAGUUCAACGAGUGCUUAGGAAAAAUAAGCUCCCUUUUGUUGGUGAGCCUAGUAGUGAAAAAAAUUGUGAUUCAUGUCAACGAGAAAAAAGUCAUCAACACCCUUCCCCUGUGUCAACUAGCGUUUCUUCCAAACCAUUAGAACUAUUUUUUUUCUGAUGUAUGGGGCAAGCAGCUCUUUCUGUUGGGAGACACAAGUAUUAUGUAAACUUUAUUGAUGAUUAUAGUAAGCAUACUUGGAUCUACCUUAUCAAGCAUAAAUCUGAUGUGUUUCAAGUAUUCCAAAAUUUCCAAGCACUUGUUGAACGAAAAUUCUCUAGCAAAAUAAUCUCUGUCCAAUCGGACUGGGGUGGCGAGUAUGAAAAAUUAAACUCGUUCUUUCAAAAACUGGGAAUUUCCCAUCAUGUCUCUUGUCCCCAUGCGCACCAACAGAAUGGUUCUGCAGAACGCAAGCAUAGACAUAUUGUCAAAGUUGGUCUUUCUCCUUGCUAAUGCAUCCAUGCCAUCGAAGUUUUGGGAUGAAGCAUUCAUCACUGCUACACAUCUCAUUAAUAUGUUGCUAAGCAGGGUUAUCAAUUUUGAAACACCCACCGUGUUGGGGAACGCAGUAUUUAAAAAAAAAUUCCUACGAUCACGCAAGAUUUAUCUAGGAGAUGCAUAGCAAGGAGAGGGGAGAGUGUGUCCACGUAUCCUCGUAGACCGAAAGCGGAGGCAUUUAGUAAUGCGGUUGAUGUAGUCGAACGUCUUUGCGAUCCAACCGAUCAAGUACCAAACGCACAGCACCUCCGCGAUCUGCACACGUUCAGCUCGGUGACGUCCCUCGUACUCUUGAUCCAGUUGAGGCCGAGGGUGAGUUGCGUCAGCAUGAUGGUGUGUUGAUGGUUAUGAUGAAGUUACCAAUGCAAGGAUUCGCCUAAGCACUACGACAAUAUGACCGAGGUGGAAAACUGUGGAGGGGGGCACCGCAACGGUUAAAGAUCAACUCUUGUGUCUAUGAGGUGUCCCCCUCCCCCAUAUAUAAAGGAGGGGAGGAGGAGGAGGGCCGGCCUCAAGGGGCGCUCCCAAGGGGGGGAUUCCUACUCCUAGUAGGAGUAGGUUUCCCCUUUCCUAGUCCAAGUAGGAGAAGAAGGAAGGAGAGGAAGAAGAGAAGGAAAGGGGGCCCGCCCCCCUUAGCCCUAGUCCAAUUCGGUUUGGGCUACGGGAGGCGCGCGCCACCUCUUGGCCUACCUCCUCUCUUCCACCACUAGGCCCAUAAGGCCCAAUAACUUCCCGACGGGGGUUUCGGUAACCCCCAGUACUCCGAAACUUAUCCGAAAUGACCCGAACCAUCCCAGUGUCCAAAUGUAACCUUCCAAUAUAUGAAUCUUUAUGUCUCGACAAUUUCGAGACUCCUCGUCAUGUCCAUCAUCUCAUCCGGGAUUCCUAAAAACCUUCGGUACAUCAAAUCACAUAACUCAUAAUACAUAUCAUCAUCGAACGUUAAGCAUACGGACCCUGCGGGUUCGAGAACUAUGUAGACAUGACCGAGACUCAUCUCCGAUCAAUAACCAAUAGCGGAACCUAGUUGCUCAUAUUGGUUCCUACAUAUUCUACGAAGAUCUUUAUCAGUCAAACCGCAUAACAACGUACAUUGUUGCCUUUGUCAUCGGUAUGUUACUUGCCCGAGAUUCGAUCGUCGGUAUCAUCAUACCUAGUUCAAUCUUGUUACCGGCAAGUCUCUUUACUCGUUCCGUAAUGCUCAUCCCGUGACUAACUCAUUAGUCACAUUGCUUGCAACGCUCAUAGUGAUGUGCAUUACCGAGAGGGCCCAGAUAUACAUCUCCGAUACACAGAGUGACAAAUGCUAAUCUCUAUCUAUGCCAACUCAACAAACACCAUCGGAGACACCUGUAGAGCAUCUUUAUAAUCACCCAGUUACGUUGUGACGUUUGAUAGGACACAAGGUGUUCCUCCGGUAUUCGGGACUUGCAUAAUCUCAUAGUCUGAGGACCAUGUAUAAGUCAUGAAAAAAUAAUAGCAAUAAACUAAAUGAUCAUACUGCUAAGCUAACGGAUAGGUCUUGUCCAUCACAUCUAAAUGGUUUUUUCUUUUCUUGAUUAAUACUCCCUCCGUCCCAUAAUAUAAGACAUUUUUUGACAUUACACUAGAGUCAAAAAACGUCUUACAUUAUAGGACAGAGGGAGUAGUAUUUGUUUUUGGAUGCUUGCAGGUGUUGGAAGAGAACUACUAGGUUGUUGUCCAAGUCACUUCUCACAAAUGUGUGACGCCUGCCCCCACGUGUGAGCCAGCGCAGCCGAAGGCGGCGCACUAACAACGAAACCUAACAAAUUAACUGGCCACACGUGCCAGCCGGUUCCCACGGGUGCGAUGCAUGCCCCCACUUGCAAGCCAGAGGGCGGCCCUACGGACGAGCCGGCAUAGGUGUACAUGAUGCACGCACUAUCUGUUGCGACCGGACCAGCUCGGCGCAUUGCCAGCGGAUGCCAACGGCAAAAUUUCGUGUUUUGACCCUUUUCUGAAACCUAUUAAAGAUCUGACCCUAGGCAGCAGAAGACAUCCUUCAAAUUGAUCACAAUCUUCUUACCCCAACUGAGACCGAGGCUUUCAAGAUGAUUGAGUUAUCCCGUAUACAAAACAAGUAUGUCACACGUGAAAAUAUUUUGUUGAAGGAGCAUAUCAUCGCACUCAAGGGCAUUAUCCGCAAGUUGGAGGACCUCCUACGCUCGAUGUGCGACUAUCCAUCAUCAACAACUCCACCUUCUUCAUAAACAAAGAAGAACUGAGUAUCUGGUAUGGGCACUCCACUUGGCAACUGCCAAGCUUGGGGGAGUGCCCCGGUAUCGUAUCACCAUCACUUCUAUCUUUACCGUUUUCCUUAGUUCGAUCCUUUUGAUAAUAUUUUGAUCUAGUAGAAUAAAACUUCUUAGUAUGAUCUAGUUGUGAGUUUUGCUUUAUGAUCCUUCUAUGUAAUCGAGUCCGUGAGCUAUAUAUAAUAAAGAUUAGUGUUGAGUCAAGGACUUGAUUAUUUUGCCAUAAUCUUGAGUGAAUAAAAGAAAAGAGAAGAAAUAAAAAGAAACAAAGAGAUCAUAUGGAUCUUAUGGAGAGUAAUGAGCUCACAUAGAAAGAGUAUGAUGAAUAAAAGUUGUUGAGAGUUGACAAACAUAGUUUUGGUCAUCGUUGCAAUUAAUAGGAAGUAAUAAAGAAAGAGAGGUCUUCACAUAUAAAUACACUAUCUUGGACAUCUUUUAUGAUUGUGAGCACUCAUUAAAAUAUGACAUGCUAAAGAGUUGACGUUGGACAAGGAAGACAAUGUAAUGGGUUAUGUUUUCUUACAUCUGAGAUAAAUUAUAUUGUCAUGGAUCAUCCAACAUGAUUGAGCUUGCUUUUCCCCCUCAUGCUAGCCAAAUUCUUUGCACCAAGUAGAGAUACUACUUGUGCUUCCAAACACCCCUAAACCAAUUUUUCCAUGAGUGUCCACCAUACCUACCUAUGGAUUGAGUAAGAUCCCUCAAGUAAGUUGUCAUCAGUGCAAGUAAUAAAAAUUGCCCUCUAAAUAUGUAUGACUUAUUAGUGUGGGAGAAAAUAAGCUUUAUAUGAUCGUAUGAUAUGGAAUAAAUAAAAGCGGCGGACUGCAUAAUAAAGGUCCAUAUCACAAGUGGCAAUAUAAAGUGACGUUCUUUCGCAUUAAGAUUUUGUGCAUCCAACCAUAAAAAUGCAUGACAACCUCUACAUCCCUCUGUGAAGGGCCUAUCUUUUUCUUUUAUCUCCUACCUUGCAUAAGAGUCAUGGUGAUCUUCACCCUUCCUUUGUACAUUUUAUCUUUUGGCAAGCACAACAUGUUGGAAAGAUCCUGGUAUAUCUGGCUAAUUGGAUGUGAAUUUUCAUGAACUAUUAUUGUUGACAUUACCCUUGAGGUAAAACGUUGGGAGGCAAAACUAUAAGCCCCUAUCUUUCUCUGUGUCCGAUUAAAACUCCAUACCCAUAAGUAUUGCGUGAGUGUUAGCAAUUGUGGAAGACUAUAUGAUAGUUGAGUAUGUGUACUUGCUGAAAAGCUCUUAUAUUGACUCUUUCCUAUGUUAUGAUAAAUUGCAAUUGCUCCAAUGACUGAGAUUAUAGUUUGUUAGUUUUCAAUGAAGUUUGUGAUUCAUACUUGAAAUUGUGAUUGAAUUGUUACUCUAGCAUAAGAGAUCAUAUGACAAGAAUUAUAUAAGUUGUUGUUUUAAGAAUGAUCAUAAUGCCCUCAUGUACGUAUUUUAUUUUUAUCGACACCUCUAUCUCUAAACAUGUGGACAUAUUUUUCGAUUUCGGCUUUCGCUUGAGGACAAGCGAGGUCUAAGCUUGGGGGAGUUGAUAUGUCCAUUUUGCAUCAUGCUUUUAUAUCCAUAUUUAUUGCAUUAUGGGCUGUUAUUACACAUUAUGUCACAAUACUUAUGCCUAUUCUCUCUUAUUUUACAUGGUUUACAUAAAGAGGGAGAAUGUCGGCAGCUGGGAUUCUGGGCUGGAAAAGGAGCAAAUAUUAGAGACCUAUAGUACACAGCUCCAAAAGUCCUGAAACUUCACGGAAGUCAUUUUUAGAAUAUAUAAAAAAUAUUGAGCGCAAGAAGUUCCAGAGGGGGCCCACACCCUGGCCACGAGGGUGGGGGCCAGCCCUACCCCCCUGGGUGCGCCCCCUGCCUCGUGGGCCACCUGGUGGCCCUCCGAUGCCCAUCUUCUGCUAUAUGGAGUCCUUCGAUGAGAAAAAAAUGAUAAGCAAGCUUUCGGGAUGAGACUCCGCCACCACUAGGCGGAACCUUGGCGGAACCAAUCUAGGGCUCUGGCGUAGCUAUUCUGCCGGGGAAACUUCCCUCUGGGAGGGGGAAAUCAUCGCCAUCGUCAUCACCAAUGAUCUUCUCAUUGGGAGGGGGUCAAUCUCUAAGUCUGGGAUUGGUACCCGUGGGUUGCUAGUAGUGUUGAUUACUCCUUGUAGUUUAUGCUAGUUGGUUUAUUUGGUGGAAGAUCAUAUGUUCAGAUCCUAUAUGCAUAUUAAUAUCCCUCUGGUUAUGAACAUGAAUAUGCUUUGUGAGUAGUUACGUUUGUUCCUGAGGACAUAGGAGAAGUCCUGCUAUUAGUAGUCAUGUGAAUUUGGUAUUCGUUCGAUAUUUUGAUGAGAUGUAUGUUAUCUCUCCUCUAGUGGUGUUAUCACUACAAAAAAAGACACAUCCGUGACAUUUUGGGCCGAACGAUAUUUUUUCUGUCAUACAUAUGACACUUCUAUGACGAUAAUUGUGACAAAACCCGGUAUCAUCAUAGAUGUGAUGGGAUCCUACGUCUAUGACAAAAAAUCAUGACAGAAAAUGGGCUUUUCGUCCGGGGCGGGCCAGAGACGCAGCUGCAUGACAUUCUUUGGGCCAUCCAUGAUGGAAAAAACCGUGGUAGAAGCGAGGGGGAGGAAAAUUUCGGGGAGUUCCCGGUUACGGUGGGAGGUCGGGGGCCGAGCGAUGCGCGUUUCUCUCGUACACGUACGCACGUGUGUGCGAGGCGUUGGCUCUAACUGAACCCGAGCGAUUGCACUGCAGGCUACGCAUUAUUGAACCCGAGCGAUCGAUCGAUGGAUGUUAACUGAACCCGAUCGAGCGAUUCCUUCGCUACUGCUGCUAAUUNNNNNNNNNNNNNNNNNNNNNNNNNNNNNNNNNNNNNNNNNNNNNNNNNNNNNNNNNNNNNNNNNNNNNNNNNNNNNNNNNNNNNNNNNNNNNNNNNNNNNNNNNNNNNNNNNNNNNNNNNNNNNNNNNNNNNNNNNNNNNNNNNNNNNNNNNNNNNNNNNNNNNNNNNNNNNNNNNNNNNNNNNNNNNNNNNNNNNNNNNNNNNNNNNNNNNNNNNNNNNNNNNNNNNNNNNNNNNNNNNNNNNNNNNNNNNNNNNNNNNNNNNNNNNNNNNNNNNNNNNNNNNNNNNNNNNNNNNNNNNNNNNNNNNNNNNNNNNNNNNNNNNNNNNNNNNNNNNNNNNNNNNNNNNNNNNNNNNNNNNNNNNNNNNNNNNNNNNNNNNNNNNNNNNNNNNNNNNNNNNNNNNNNNNNNNNNNNNNNNNNNNNNNNNNNNNNNNNNNNNNNNNNNNNNNNNNNNNNNNNNNNNNNNNNNNNNNNNNNNNNNNNNNNNNNNNNNNNNNNNNNNNNNNNNNNNNNNNNNNNNNNNNNNNNNNNNNNNNNNNNNNNNNNNNNNNNNNNNNNNNNNNNNNNNNNNNNNNNNNNNNNNNNNNNNNNNNNNNNNNNNNNNNNNNNNNNGUGGAGGGGUGCCCGUGGAGGGGUGGUUGAACUGGACCCCGUGGUGUGGAGGGCUGGAUGAACAGUAGACGGUGGAGGGGUGGUUGAACAGUAGCCGGUGGAGUAACGCGCGGUGGAGGCUGGAUGAACAGGAGCCCGUGGAGGCUGGAGGAGGUCGACGGUGGAGAUGAACAGUAUCCCGUGGAGUCCCGUUUUGCGGUACGCCACACCCCUCCCAGUAAACAGGACCCCCGUUUCGACCGUAGCGCUCCAACACAAGUCAGUUUCCUCCAUUUUGCGGUACGCCACACCCCUCCCGAUCAACAGGACCCCCGUUUCAACCGUAGGAGGUCCGUUUCCUCCGUUUUGCGGUACGCCACACCCCUCCCGAUGAACAUGAUCCCGUUUCGAACAUGGCCAGUCGAACACAAGGCCGUUUCCUCCAUUCUGCGGUACGCCAGGCCUCGUUUCCAUCGCCUAUUCCGUCCAAGCCCUCCCGAUGAACACAACGCAUUCCGUUGCCUCCCCAUGAACACGACGCAUUUUGUUGCCUCCCCAUGAACACGACACAUUUCGUUGCCUCCCCAUGAACACGACGACGACGCUGUUUCUCAGUUCCGACCCAGCCUUGUACAUGAGCCCUCGUCGUACGUAUGCGCGAGUAGGCAUUCGAGACCCCGCCCGUAUGUACACAUACGUGGCCGUAUUUUCUUUCUUGCACCCUGACCGCUGUACAUACGUGUACAUGCUACGUGCGCGCCUCUACUACGACACAUGCGCGCCUCGACAUCGACCAGUAUAUAUGUACGUACACGUUCGCGACCAGAAUGACAACGCUACGUACGCUUCGACCAGGUAGGUCCCGACUGCCAGGCACUUCCUUGCAUGCGAAGAUGUAGCUGGUGGGUCCCAGCAGUCAAGGCACUACUAGGGACAAGCCUAUACACAGAAUCUUACCAGCAGCGCGCUUUAAAAUCAGGCGCUGCUGCUAAGUAGCAGUAGCGCAGGUUUUUAACCCUCGCUACUACUAAGUUGAUAGCAGUAGCGCUGGUUUUUUAGCCUCGCUACUACUAAGCGGUCACUACCGUGCCCCUCGGGACAUGCCAUAGUAGUAGCGCGGGUUUUUAACCCUCGCUACUCCUAAGUUGAUAGCAAUAGCGUUGGUUUUUACCCCUCGCUACUACUAAGCUGUCUCUACCGUGCCCCUGGGCCAUGCCAUAGUAGUAGCGAGGGUUAUAAAACCGUGCUACUACUAAGUUUUUACCCCUCACUACUACUAAGAGGUCUCAACCGUGCCCCUCCGGGACAUGCCAUAGUAGUAGCGAGGGGUAAAAUCCCUCGCUACUACUAAAGGUGCCAUUUUGAAACUCUACCCCCCUGGAUCGCCUUUUGGGUUUUGUAAAAAGCAAAAGAAAAUGAUAAAAACUUCAAAAAUUAAAAUCCUUCUAGAUUUAGUUAUGUUACUACAUCUACUAGUUAGGAAAAUUUAAAAACUUAAAUUUGGACAUGUUUUGCAAAAAGUGUCGGGAAAAUGUAAAACGGCUAUAACUUUUGCAUACGAUGUUAGAAAAAAACGUAUAAUAUAUCAAAAUGUUUCAAAAAUUAAAAUCCUUUGAGAUGUAGUUAUGUUACUACAUCUACUAGUUAGGAAAAUUUAAAAACUUAAAUUUGGACAUGUUUUGCAAAAAGUGUAGGGGAAAUGUAAAACGGCUAUAACUUUUGCAUACAAUGUCAGAAAAAAACGUAUAAUAUAUCAAAAUGUUUAGCACGAAAAUCUGCAUACGAUGUAGACAGCUACGGCCUAUUUGCAAAUUUUUAGAAUCCUCAAAUUCUAAAAGGAAAAAAAAUUAUGCUCAAAUUUCAGUUUUUUUAAUUUUGGUCAAAUCUGGUCAAACUGUGGUCAAACUAAUUCAAGAAGUAUUAGUGUUACUAAAUAAUUAUUUCAGUUUUUGGAAUUUUGGUCAAAUCUGGUCAAACUGUGGUCAAACUUUGGUCAAAAUGUGGUCAAACUCCUUAUUCAAGAAAUAUUAGUGUUACUAAAUAAUUAUUGUUUUUUAGAACAAUUGUUUUAAACUCAAACAGCAAAAUGUGUGACUUCAUGCUCAAGCUAAACUCCCGAGGGUUAAUAGGAUUGACAUCUUACUAUUGUCAGGAAAGCAACAAGUGCAGACCUGGAAUCGAGGGAGAAUAGAACCCGGAAGUUAAGCGUGCUCAGGCUGGAGUGGUGAGAGGAUGGGUGACCGUCCGGGAAGUUAGAUGAUUUGGAAUGAUGAGGGGUGAUUAGAGAUAAAAUUGAGCAGCGAUGAGGGUGAUUAGAUAUUAGAGGUUAAAAUAAUUCAGAAAUUUGAAAAUUCGCGCAAAAAAUUCGAAAAAAAAUUCUGCGGGUUAGUAGUAGCAUGGGUUUUUAACCACACUACUACUAACGGACGUAGUAGUAGCGCGGGUGGCACCCGCGCUGCUGCUAUACGUUAGCUGUAGCGCCUUAUUAGUAGCGCCGGCCCACGCGCUGCUAAUAGGCCCAAAACCCGCGCUGCUGCUAGGCUCUUCCCUAGUAGUGAGGAGGGGAAUUGUUUUAUUUUGUUUUGCCCGGACGCACUUCCUUCCGUCCGAAGGUGUAGCUAGUGGGUCCCAGCAGUCAGGGGGGAAACGUUUUUUUCGUGAAAUACGGUGGCCCGUCUGGUGGUCCCCGCUGUUAGGUGGAGGAAUAAUUAUUUUGCACAUAAUAAGGAGGCACUUCCUUGCUGCGGCCGUGGACCCAGGUGUCAGCCACUCCACGUACAGUCCACGUCCGAUGGAAGUCGUUCCUUGACCACGUUGACCACGCUGCACCGAGAGCACCAGGGCAGUGGACGACGGCGAGGCCUAGGAAGGGGACGACGAGGAGCUAGGGAAGACGCGGCAGUGGAAGCCUGUGCGGAGAGGAGUACGAGGGUUCACUGGUUCGGCUACGGUGUGAGGCUGCCGUCACCGCAGGGCCUGGCCAGCGGUGGGAAUAGUAGGGGGCGGUGAGGCGUCCGCAGCAGCACAGCCGACCAUGGGAGGCAGGAGCAUGCGGCACGACCGGCGCAACUUUGGGCGGCUGGAGCAAGAAGACCAGAGGUUGAAGAAGCACUACGGCUGUUGGAUGGACAUCGUACAGUCACUGGAGCUAGAAUCGUUCAUAUUGAUUAAAGUUGACAAAGGCCCCCGUCCCAGUCAACUUAGUAGGCCCACAAGUCAGCCUCCCACCAUGGUGGGUCCCAGCUAGCAGGGGGGUAUUCAUUUUUUUGUGCGUAAUAAGGAGGCACUUCCGGUGGGUCCGAGCUGAUAGCGGGGGGGACGUUUUUUUCGCGAAAUACGCUGGCCCGUACGGUGGGUCUGAGCAGUCAGGGGGGAAACGUUUUUUCGCAAAAUAAGGUGGCCCGUCCGGUCAGUCCCUGUUGUAAGGUGGAGGAAUAAUUAUUUUGCGCGUAAUAAGAAGGCACUUCCUUGCGGCUGCAUGGACCCAGCUGUCAGCCUCUCCACGUACAGUACUCUUCCGAUGGAAGUCGGUCGUUAACCACGUUGACCACGCCGCGCCGAGAGCACUAGGGCGGUGGUCUGGACGAUGGCGAGGCCUAGGAAGGGGACGACGCGGAGCCGGGGAAGACGCAGCAGCGGAAGCCCGCGCGGAGAGGAGUACGAGGGUUCACUGGUUCGGCUGCGGUGUGAGGCUGCCGUCGCCGCAGAAUAACAGGGGGUGUGCGUGAGUGGAGGGAUGGCCUGGCCAGCGGUGGGGGUUGUAUGGGGGCGGUGAGGCCUCCGCGGCAGCACAGCCGGCCACGGGAGGCAGGAGCAGGUGGCACGACCGGCACUGCUUUAGGCGGCUGGACCAAGAAGACCAGAGGUUGAAGAAGCACUAAGGCCGUUGGAUGGACAUCGUACGGUCAUUGAAGCUAGAAACGUUUAUUAUUGACUAAGUUGACAAAGCCCUUGGUACGCUCCAACUUAGUAGGCCCACAGGUCAGCCUCCGAAACAGUGUGCCCCAGAUGUCAAGGAGAGGAAUCAUUUUUUGGGCGGCCGAAGCUAAGAAUAUCCGAGAUUGAAGAAGAAGCACGACAUCCGUUGGAUAGACAUCCAACGUCCACUGCUGCUAGAACCGUGUGUUGACUAUAAUAAGUUGGCAAAGCCUUGCAUACGCGUCAACUUAUUUUUUUAGGGGACACGUCACUUAGUAGGCCCACAAGUGUGUGGCAGAGAACUUAUAGCCCAUUUGCGUUUUUGUAAGAAUGUACAGCCCAUUUUGGAAUUCUAAUGGAAUUUACAACAGCCCAUUUACAGUUUGUUAAAAGUACAGCCCAUUUUCUAGCUAGGAAAAUGAUUAAUAAUUUCAACCAACCGUUGAAGACCGAAUUCAACAAAAUUUCCCACAUUUUGAUGGGCUCCAAAAUAUUUUUAUCCUGAAAUUUUUAGUCAGAUUAAAUAUAAAUUUGUAUUAGGUAAAAAUCCAAUGAAACAUUGCGCGCGCAACAAUGAAAAUUUAAGAUUUUCAAAAUCCAUAAAUAAUAUUUUAUAAACUAAUUUCGUGUUUGGUGCAUUUUUUAUAGUUACUGCCUAGUUUUUAUAAUUACAUCCCAUUUAUUAUUUUUUAAAGCCCAUUUUCCUGUUAAGCCUAAUGUAUCCCUCCUAGGAAAGAUUUGCAGCCCAGCGGGGUGGAGAAUAACAAGUUCACUUUGCCUCGGUAUUCCUCAAAAAGACGUAUAGCUGGGCUAGCCAUUUUCAUCUUGAAAAAAUUAGUAUCUGGGCUGGAUGUCUGGCCUGGGCUAGACGGGCCACAACCCGCCUAGUUAAUACCCUGCUCUCCUCUGAAAAACAACGAAAUCAUCGCCAAGAAAAACUCUGCAGUGCUCACGCUUCAAAAAGACAAAUACUGCUUGAGCUGCUUGGUCCCAGCUGUCGGCCGCACCUUGUGCAAUUCUCUCGUUUAUAUUGACUACAUAGGUUGACAAUGGUGUGGGACCGUGAUGUCAGGAAACCAGGAGAAAGCAAAAAACAUAUAGUUGUACAUAAUAAGGAGGCACUUGCGUACGUACGGCUAUGGCCCUAGUGGGUCCCUAGUGUCAUCCAGUCAAAAUAAAGUCAUCUCCUGAAUCCUCAUGUUCGUUGACGAUGUUAACAAUGCUCGGCGCCACGGCGAGCGCAACAACUCGAAGGACAACGGAGAGGGCCUCGCGGGCCCUACGGAUGGUCUGAUACAGCGCCCGCUACUCAUUCAGGAAGCCAGGAUCAUCGGACACCUAUGAGCACCUUCGAGAAACUGAGACGGCAUGAAACGGUAAGGCCGCGCUUGGGAGCUCUGGUUUAUUUCAAACCUGUAUUAACAUACAAGUGUAAUUUACUCAUCAUCGAAAACAACGCGUAAAAUAUAGGCGUAAUGAAACCGAGGGCCCGAGGUCCAUAAGUAAAACCGGCGGGUUACGCGUGUAAUUUGAGAGACCAGUGUAUUUUAUGAGCACUGCUAUAUGGACGACAUUACCAGACGAGUGUCACCUCCAGAAGGACCAACUCUACGACCUCGCCAACUCCAGCACGUACGCACCUAUCCCCUGCGGCUCCCCUGCCUGCACGGAGCUCGGUAGCAGCCACAGCAGUGGUUGCUCCGCCGGCUCCGACCAAUGCAAGUAUAUCCUCGACUACGGCGACGACAGGGUCACCGCCGGGACAUACAUCAGCGACACGCUGAACUUGUCGCCCACCAUCGCGGUCAAGGGCUUCCGGAUCGGGUGCAGCCACGCCGUGAGGGGCAC